rnacentral:lncRNA from 1 species
CAGAAGAAAUCACAGAUCUGAAACUUUAGCGCCUGCCGCUACCACUCUGCAGCUCGACUCCCACAGUCAAAUGCUAUCACUCUACAUAGAUGAAAGUAGGCAUAAUGAGCACAUAACCCAAUAAGUAGACCACUACUCUUGUAUUCCUGCAUAGAUGCAUAUACAUAAUAACAUGGUCUAUGGUUCAUCAGAAAUCAUACUGGCAUCAAAGAAUAAGAUCUUACAUUAGGGUACGUACAUUUGUUGUAUAGAGAGAGUAACAUUCAGUUUACAGAAUAUCACUUGUUCUUGAUAUGGCAAUCAUAGUUAUAGUUAAAUGUUCAUGCAGAAUGCUUAAAUAAAAUAAGCAAAACAAAUCUAUUUCACACUCGAAGUAGCAGCCACAUUGGUCAGGCCAAGUCAAUCAUGAACUUGGGACUUCGUAAUGCCCUCACUCAUUCACACAAUCCCUAGUGCGCUUUGGGGAUUUUGAUAGGCUACGGCCUUGCAAGACAUGACCCUCUCCAUACGCCUUCAGGAGAGAGGGUGUUACACUACCAUUGGAGGACCUGAUGUGUAGUGCCUAUGACAAUUGGGGGGGGUGACCCUCCCUAUUUCUUACAGUCACCUCUCGACUCCACUCCUAUCAUAUGGGUCGAGGUACAGUAUACCCCACUACCAAUGGAGGACCCAUUGCAUUGCCGUCAUUGCCAAAAUAACAAAAUCACAGUAUCCACUACCAAUGGAGGACCCAUUGCGUAGUAGUCAGAAAUCAAUAUCCAUAUGGCAGAAUCUGAAAGUCCACUACCAAUGGAGGACCCAUUGCGUAGCGUUCAUGGCACAUAUCAUAGUAUUCAUAUAGCAUAAUCAUACAGUAUCAGUGUCACAUAAUGGCCAUGUUAAUAUCACAAAAUAGCAGUAUUAGUAUCACAAAAUGGUAGCAUUAAUAUCAUGGGAUGGCAGUGUCAAUCUCACAGAAUGCCAGUAUCAGCAUCACAUAUUUAAAAUUAUCAAAUUCACAGAAUAACAAUGUCCAUAUCACAGAAUAACAAUAUCAAACUCACAGAAUAACAAUGUCCAUACUACAGAAUAACAAUAUCAGAUUCACAGAAUAAUAGUGUCCAUAUCAAUGAAUAACAGUAUUAGAUUCACAGAAUAACAAUGUCCAUAUCACAGAACAACAAUAUCAGAUUCACAGAAUAAUAGUGUCCAUAUCACAGAAUGAGUGUUACAGCUGCAAAUUCAAACUGUGACAUCUAGUCGUAAAUAGGGUCAUAACUUUUGAUUCGUUUAGAAUUGAAAACGGUUGCCAAACCAAUUUUAUGCUAGACACACCUAUCUUUCAAAUGGGGUAGUUUGAGAGAGAUUGGACCUUGUUUGGCCCCUCAAAAGUUCAAAAGAAUGGAGAUAUUCCAUAUGAAAUCUGCUGUGCAGUGAAAGCAGUGACAUAUCUUUAAAAUUAGUUCAAUAUCUCCCAAACUAGAAGGAAUUUCGAAAUAUGGUUAAUAUGUGAUUCUAAGCACACACAGAGAUCUAUUAAGAGGAGGUGGUUUGAAAGAAAACAGAUCUUUUUUGGUCAGUUAGAGCCUGUGGCAACAAAGGCAUAUGUUUUGAGCUUUUGUAGAACUGCCUACAGUGAGAUAUUUUCGCAAUUAAUCAUAUAACUCUCAAAUUAGGCAGAAUUUUAAAAAGUGCUAAACAUGUGAUUUUAUGCUUAGUCAUAAAUAUUUCAAAUAGUGGUGGUUUGGAAGAAAAUGGCCCUCAUUUGGUAGGUCAAAACUCGUGACAUCAGAGACAUCAGUUCUAUAUUUUUACCAAAACUGUCCACAGUGACUAGUGGCAUGUUUCGUAAUUAUAGCUUUACAUACAUAAAUAAUCAGAACAAGAUAUGGACAUGAAUCUUGAAAUAGACUCAGAAAUAUUUCCAAUGGUGGUGGUUGAGGCUAAUUGUACCUCAUUUAAUAAGUCAAAAGUGGAUUGCAAAAACAUGAAAACUUCUUGAAGUUUUACAGCACAGUCACAAUACUACUUAAUAUGAUACCCAAAUGGCCAAUAACCCUUCCACUUUCAAAAGGAUACUUAAGAACACAAAGUUACAAACUUUCUGUGAAACACAAGACAAAUUUUGAUGCUUAUUGUGGUCAUGCAAUUGCAAUUCACAUGGCUAGAAAAUUCACAACAUAAUAGUGAACAUAACAUCAUUCAUACUAAUAGCAUGUACAAACAUAAUCUUAAAUCAUAGUCAACCUUACACACAAAGACCUACAAGGUAGAAAUCCACUUAUCUUGGGUGUAUCGUGCCACCAAAACCUUCUUCCACAGCCUUCUUCAACUCUUAAAAUGGCUGUUCUAAUAGUGAGCGAAAAGGGGAGCUCCUUCUUAGUUCUUCACAUUGCCUUAGAGAGAGAAAGAUAAGGAGGAGUGGAGAGGCAUGAGAAUGAGCGGACAAGAGAGAAAGAUGAGGAGGAGUGGAGGGGUGUGAGAAUGAGAGGGAAAGAGAUAGAGAUAAGAACUGGGUGUUAAAUGGGUAGUGAGAGAAGGGGAGGAGAGGUGGCAAGCCACCUCCAAGUGGCAUGAGAAGGAGGUAAGGUGGCAAGCAAAGGAUGCCACUUGGAGAGGAAGAGAGAAAGGGGAGAAAAAGAGAAAAAGAAGAGGUAUUCCCUCAUGGACUACCCUACACCAACUUCCUCGACGGUCUAACCCACUCCCACGCAGCUGGACAAAAAGGCGGACACAAACCAUGCACGACAAUGUCAUAGCCGGCGUUGCUCACCUGACGUUACUCCAUCUUUCUCUUCACAAGCAGCGACUACACAGACCGCGAUGCCGCUCGUUUGCACGUGGUGUUGCCUCACACUACACAGACGGCGAUGCCGCUCGUUCGCACGCGGCGUUGCCUCACAUUACACAGAACAGUGAUGCCCCUCGUUUGCACGCGGCUUUGCUUCUCACACUACCGCGGGCUCUACCGCCGCCGCUCGUUCUCACUGCCGCCACGCGCUCUCACUAUCGCGCGCGUUCUCUUUGCCAUGCGCUCUCUCACUACCCCUGGCUCUCUUACUGGUCGGAAAAGUCUAGGUUGUUUGAAGACAUUUUUCAGCACCUUGGUCCUUGAUGCGGAAUAAAGAGGAAGCUGGUUAAUAAAGCCUAAUAUACAAUGGAAUUCUUGACAGUCUCAGAAUUAUCCCAGAAUGGGUAGAAAUCUUCUUAGGCACGUCAAAAGUCCACUUGCCAAGUUUCGUCGCAAUUAGACAUAUCUAAGGUAGUGGAGACAAAGAAACAAUUUUAAAAAAAUCAGCCUCUAGCACCCUGAAACGGACCCCAUAACUAAAGAUCUAUUUUCGAUACAUUAAAUUGAUGUGAGACUAUCGGCAUUGGAUCUGACACGGUCGAAAGCCCCUAUAGGUCAAGUUUUGCCUUAAUCGAGCACUCCAGUACAAAGUUAUGAGUAAAAUACCAAAAAGAGGUAGGCCACACACUAUUCCCGUGCACCCUCUCUGCACCCAAUCACCAUUAAAAGUGGUUGUUUUUAUAGUUUCGGGCAGUAAAUUCGGUAGCUCAUAUCUCACUCGUCCUAAGUCGAAUCAUACUUAAAUUUUGUGAACAUGUUCGUCUCGUCAAGACGAGCAUUUCAAUAUGUGGCACGUCUCGUGGUGAUGUCCGAGCAGGGAAAAAAGCUAGAGAGAAGUUGUUAAUCUGUGAAGAAAGUUACAGAAAAAGUAGCAGCGACAAGCCUCGCUCGAGCGGCCAAAUCACUGCGCUCGCUCAUGGGAUUGGCAUGAGAUCAGUUCUAUCAUGUGCGUAAGGUCUAGGGUUAUCUCUGGUCCGAACCCCGUACAUGAUGAACAGGCUGAUUUCACAUACAAAGCCAAUAAAGCGACUGUAAAUUCCGGCAUCGAAAUUUCAGAUUCCGGCCAAAACUCUAAAGUUGUGAAAUCCUCAUCCGGGCGCGAAAUCGAGCUGCGUUUGUUGCCACGUGAUCAUGACAACAUGUUUAGUGUGAUCCAGUGAAGAAAUCAUAGAAAAAUAUCAAAGAACGAGCACACUAUCGAUCCGAAAUUUUCAAGAUUCAUCCAAAUUUCAAGUCGCAUGAUUGUGGCUUAAAAACAUGAUCCGUGGCUCGAAGUUGAUAUCAAAUCGAUCGCCAUGCCGAGCCCAAUAAGAAAACAAUAAUCUUUCAGAAAAAUGGGCAUCGACGCAACCCCUGAUCAUCCACGAAAGAUCACAUAAGUUCUAGGGCAGUAGUAGAGACUGUUUUGAAAUUCUAUCUAUUGUUAGGCAGAGGGAAAACAGUCAUUUUGCGCCCAAUUUUAGAAUUUCUUUUAAUUCAAUUAAAUUUUAAUUAUCAUUAAUUUAUGUAGUUUUUGAGCAUCCACCCAUAUUUGGGACCAAUACUAUAAGUACAUGUUAAACACAAUUGUCAUGAGGAACCCUUGAUUUUUCAAUACUCAUCAAUAAAAUUUGAGAGUUUUUACAUUCAAAUUGUGGGCACGUCUAAGACAGAGAGAGAGGAGAGAGAAGAAAAGGUCUGAUACCCUUUGGCGAAGGUAAUUUUCUCUCUACUCAUCUCUCUCUUUCUCUCUCCUCAUCUUGUCUCUCUUUCUCUCUCCUCCUCUCAUCUCUCUCUUUCUCACUCCUCUCAUCUCUCUUUCUCUCUCCUUUCGUCUAUAUCUUUCUUCUCUGAUCUUCUUUAUCCACUUUCUUUUUUUUCUUUAUCUUUCCUUCUCUCUCUUCUCUUUCUUACUCUCUCUCUGUUCUCUCUCCUUCCUCUCUGUUCAUGCAUGACGGAGUCUAUCGCCUGACAUGAUGUCUUCUUGCUUCAGGGACACGAACAGUGAGCUGAGCCUUAACUUGAGUGGCGGGCCGGUCUCUGUCAAAGUUUCCUUGUCUUCCCUUCUGUCAAGGGGGGUGGAUGCUCAUCGCCGUCCAUGUUUUCUCUCUUUUCUUAAUCCUUUAUCAUGGGUAGUGGAAGCUCAUUGUCGCCCAUGUUUCCUCUCCUUUCUCACUUCCCUGUCAUGGAUGGCGGAUGUUCAUCGCUGUCCAUAUUCUCUCUCUUCUUAACCAUCUGUUAUGGACGGUGGAAGAUCAUCACCAUCCAUAUUUUCUCUCUCUUCUCUCAUUCCUCUAUCAUGGACAGCAGAAGCUCAUCACCGUCCAUGUUAUCUCUCUCUUCUUAAUUAUGUGUCAUGGACCGUGGAAGCUCAUCGUUGUCCAUAUCUUCUCUCUCUUCACUAUUUCCUUUAUCAUGGACGGCAGAAGUUCAUCGCCAUCCAUGUCAUCUCUCUUUCUUCUGUCAUGGACGACGGAAGCUCAUCGCCGUCCAUAUCUUCUCUCUCUUUUCUCUUUCCUCCACCAUGGAUGGCAAAAGCACAUUGCCGUCCAUGUCUUCUCUCUCUUCUCUCAUUCAUCUGUCAUGAAUGGCGGAAGCUCAUCGUUGCCUAUGUCUUCUCUCUCUUCUUACCCUUCUGUCAUGGACAUUGGAAGCUCAUCGUCAUCCAUGUUCUUUCAUCUCCUCUCUCUCAUUGCCGUCCAUGAUCCCCUGCUCUCUUCUCUCUCUCUCUCUCUCUUUCUUCUUCAUUCUUUUCCUUCUUUCUUUCCUCUCCCUCUUUUUCUUUUCUCUCUCAUUGCUCAUCUUGGCUUCUUCUCACAUGCAUGACAUCGGUAGUACUGUGCAUGUCUCUUUUUUCUCCCUUAUUUCUUCUCUCUCUCUCGUUUGACCAAGAGAGGCUGAGACAAACACUGUCAUGGUGGUCUUGUCAUUUAGCAGUAUUGCCGUUGAGCCGGUCUUAGUUACCGUACCCGCCUUACUGCCACGAGAGGCUAGCCAUUGUGUUAGGCUAACCAAUGAUCAUUCUGACGUCUAAUAGUAAUACUGUUGUGCCGGUCUAGUUACUGUACCUGUUGUUUGAACGAAUUUUUCAACACCUUGGUCCCUGGCAAGAAGCAAGUCAAUAAAGCCUAUAAACUAGUGAAAAUUCCCAAUAGUCUCAAAAUUGCACCAGAAUUGGUCAAGAUCGUCAUAAACACUCCAUAAGACCACCUGCCAAGUUUCGUCGCAUUCCGACAUGUCUAAGGUAGUGAACACAAAGGAACAAUUUUCAGAAAAAAUGGUCUCUAACACCCUGAAAUGGACUACUACUGGAACUAUAUUUUUGGUGUCUCAAAUAACUGUGGGACCACCGCCAUUUGACUCGAUACGGUCAAAAACCCAUAUGGGUCAAGUUUUCGCUUAAUCUGUCACUCCAGAAUAAAGAUAUGAGCAAAAUAUUGAAAAAGGAGGGGCCACACACUAUUCCCGUGUGGCCUCACUGCACCAAAACACCAUUAAAGAUGGCUGUUUUGACAAUCACAGGCAGUCACUUUCGGGGCCCGUAACUCACUUGUUCCAAGUCGGAUCGCUCCCAAAUUUGGUGAGCGUAUUCGUCUCAUCAAGACGAAGAAUUCGAUAUGUAGCACACCCCGAGAUGAUGUCUGAGAAGGGAGAAAAGCUAGAGAGAAGUUGCCAAUCCGUAAGAAAUUAAAGAAAAUUUAGCAGUGACACUCCUCGCUCGAUGGACCAAAUCAUGCAGCUCGUGCAACAAAUCAAUGCGAAACCAAUUCCAUUAUGUGCGUAAGGUCCAGUGCUACCGUUGGUUCGAACCCCGUACAUAAGGGACAAUCAGAUUUCAUUUACGAAGCCGACGAAGCGACUGAAGUUUUGGCCGUCGGAUUUCAGAUUCCGACAAAAACUCAAAAGUUGCAAAAUCUUUGUUCUGGCUCCAAAUAAUGUUCCAUUUUUUGCCACGCGAUCGUGACGACAUUCUUAGUGCACUACGCCGAAGAAAUCACCGAAAAAAAAUAAGGAACAACCACACUAUCAAUCCUAAGUUUGCAAGAUUCAAACAAAUUUCAAGUCCCAUGAUCAUGACUCAAAAACAUGAUUCGGGCCUCGAAGUUGGUGUCAAAAUGAUCGCCAUGCCGAGCCCUACAAGAAAACAAUAAUCUUUUGAUUAAACGGACAUUAGAACACCCUCAGGUCAGCCAUGGAAGAUCACGUAAGAUAUCGGGUACCAGUAGGGACUGUUUGAAAUUCCACGCAUUGUUAGGGAGGGACAAAAUAUUCAUUUCGUACCCAUUUUUAGAAUUUCUUUUAAUUCAAUUAAGUCUUAAUUUUCAGCAAUUAGGUAUAAUUUUGAUCAAUCCAACUAUUUUUGGGCACAAUUCAAUGUAAACAAGCACUGCCUUAUUAUAAAAAGGACUCCAGACGCUCGAUUCAUUCUUUGAGGAUUCAAUAAAAUUUCGAUUCCUUGCUUGAGCCUGUGAGUACAUCUUGGAGAGAGAGAGAUGAGAGAGAAGAAAAGGGUCGGUACCCUUUGGGCAUGUAACUUUCUCUCUCCUCCCCUCUCUCUUUCUUGUCUCUCUUUCUCUUUUCUCUCUCUUUCUCUCUUCUCUCUUUUAUCUCUCUCUUCUCUCUCUCAUUCUCUCUUCUCUCUUUUAUCUCUCUCUUCUCUCUCUCGUUCUCUCUCUCUUUCUCUCUUUAUCUCUAUCUCUUUCUCUCCCCUCUUUCCAUCUCUAUCUCUUUCUCUCUCGUCUUCUCUUCUCAUCUCUAUCUUCUUUUGUCAAUCAGCGAGACCUAACGUCGGUUGGUCUUUUCUAUCUUCUUCUGCCAACUGAUGAGGCCUAACGCUGGUUGACCAUCUCUCUCUUUUUCUACUAGUCGAUGAGACCUAGGUUGGUUAGUCUUCUCUCUCCUUCUAUCAGUCGGUGAGACUUAGCGCCGGUUGGUCUUUUCUUUCUUCUUCUGUCAACUGGCUAGGCCUAGAGCAGGUUGGCCUUCUCUCACUUCUUCUACCAGUUGGCGAGGCUUAGCUCCGGUUGGCCUUCUCUUUCUUCUUCUACCAGUCGGCGAGACCUAGCGCUGGUUGGUCUUCUCUAUCUUUUUCUACCAGUUGACGAGACCUAGCGACAGUUGGUCUUCUCUCUCUUCUUCUAUCAAUAGGUGAGGCCUAGCGCUAGUUGGCCUUCUCUCUCUUCUUAUAUCAGUCGACGAGGCUUAGCGCCGAUUGGUCUUUUCUCUCUUCUUCUAUCAGUCGGUGAGACGUAGCGUCGGUUGAUCUUCUCUCUCUUCUUCUACAGUCGGCGAGGCCUAACACCAGUUUAUCUCCUCUCUCUUCUUCUAUCAAUCGACGGGACUUGACACCGGUUGGUCUUCUCUCUCUUCUUCUAUCAAUUAGUAAGACAUAGCACCGAUUGGUCUUCUCUUUCUUCUGCUAUUAGGCAGUGAGACUUGGCACAGGUUGGUCUUCUCUCUCCUCUUCUGUCAGUUGGCGACCUAGUGCUGGCUGGUUUUCCCUCUCUUCUUUUGUCAGUUGGCGAGACUUAGCGCCAGUUGGUUCUCUUCCUCUCUUCUCAUCUGACACAGUGGCGAAGCCUAGCAUCUAUUGCUUCCUCUCUCUCCCAUCUCCUGAAACAUUCAGCAAUGUCUAGUGUCGACUGCAUAUCCUCUUCCUUCUUCUCCCUCCUCUCUUCCUUCUUCUCUCACCUUCCAUCUAUUCUUUUCUUCUCUUUAACUAUUCCUUUGCUACUCUUUCAUUCGACCAAGAGGGAUUGAGGUUAGCAUCUCAUGGAAGUCCUGUUGUCUAGCCGUAAUGUUGUUGCACUAGGUUCGCUUAGCCUGCCUUACAGCUACAACAGACCGACCAUCAUGCUUAGCUAGUCGACAUUGACAAUAGCGUCUAGUAGCAAUCCAGUGAGCCAGUCUUAGUUACCGAGCCCGUUUCGCUACCACGUUACGCCAAUUAUCUACCAGCCUAGUCACGCUCUGAUCUUCCCGCUUGGUCGAAUUCUUCUCUCCCCCCAUCUUUCUUUCUUCUUUUUAAAUACUCAUGCUUGCAUAUGAUCUUCAAAGAGGAAAAGGGUGAGGUUUGACCCACCUAUCCCAUAACCUUUGCCAUAUAGUGUGAUUGCAGGAAAGCAGAAAAUGAGAAGAAUAUGAGCUAAGGGACGCGAUUCUAAACCAGUUUCAUUACUAAGGGGCUUUCUUCGUAAUCUAAGAGGGUGCCCCCGCAAGUUUGCUUGAUUAAGUCCCAAACCCACCUUUAAAUUCCUCUCUCACCGGUUGAUAAUAUCUGCCCCCUUUUCCUAACGAGGUUCCCGAGAGAACGAUCUCACAAACGUCCCAGGUCUCUCCCGAAACCCAAGACACGUGCUGCCUGAUCCUCCAGGGAUCAAGAGAGCGAGAUCGAGGCACCUAACCAGCUUAGCGACUCCACUGGGGACUUACUCCCCUUAAUCGGAUCUUUCUUGUUUGGCUAGUCUCUUCUUUUAUUAUCUGUUUUCAUUCUCUUUGCAUAUUCACUUAUGGCUGCUGGGUUCUAUAACCCAUUUAUUCGGAUCAAAGAUUUUCUUAUCCCCUUAUUCGAGAGUGUCCCAAGGGAUCAAGGUCCUUCGACUUCUUUCCCAACCAUCCUCUUGAGCCAAGACCCCUUGUCUAGCUCCCAGGUCUUACCCUGAACCGGUGUGAGGAGGGACCUGAAGGUCCCUCACUCUCCAUCUCUUCGCUCUGGUGGAAACUCUAUCAAGGCGCCCUGUAUGGGUAGCACUUAUGUUGCCCCACACAAUAUACACCUAGCCACCGGCAAGUCACUUGACUAUUGAGUUCCUGAGGUACGCCGGAAAGCUGCCCAAUCCCUUUCUGCAAAAGGCAAGCAAUUUGCCAUUGCUCAUGUGGGUCGCCAUAAGGCUACCCCCCACAUUUCUGCACCAUUGGUCUCUAUCCCUAGAGGCUCAACACUUCGAGGCAGAAACCCCACGGUCUCUAUCCCUCACACACAUCACAAGGCUCGUGGGUCACCCAUGCGAGCCACACCUCGAGGCAACCCUUAUGUAACCUCCAGUUCGUGUCCAAGAUCAAAUCUUCCAAGGCUAGGUCCUGCGCACGCUACUCAUAUGCAUCUCAUUGCUCAGGGUAAUGCCAUUGCCAUGCCAACCUGAGUACACAAGAGACGACCUUCUCAUCGUCCUACUCUGUACACACAAGCACACCCUGUAAGGGGUAGGUAUCUACCUGUUCCCUUACAGACAUUUGCUUGAGCCUGGGUUGACCCCCAGGUCCCCUGAGAUCCUUCUUCGAAGAGCGCACAUGCGUCGCCAUCUCAAGCAUCCCUUCGCCCUCAACUCAGGCCUCCUCAUGAGUCGACCCUGCUCCUGCCUGCGCCUCCUUCAUCGAGCAAGCACCUCUAGCCUUGGUACUCGAAGGUUUUCCCCAAGAGUACCAUCUUGAAACAGCCCCAACACGUUGGUCAUGUCUCUGGAGCUCAUAAGAGAACUCGGGGCAUGGACCUCAUGGAAGAUCGAGUCCUUCAUCCUCCCCGACUCAAGAAUACUCCAGUUCCUUGCCCUCAUCCUUUGCCGCAACCUAGAUCGCAAUUUUGACGCGAGGUCUAUCAAGACCUCAAGUCUAAAUGCGAUAGAGGUAUGUGAAUUUUGACUAGGGAGGUGACCAAGGCAGUCAAAACAGCCAAUUUUGACGACCCUCUUCACUUGAAUCCCUUCUACCCCUUUCAGACGAUGAAGCCUGAAGAAGAGCUCAAUGAGCCCUGUGAUGUGGUUACUGUCGUAGAAGAAGACCAAACCACUCAAUAGCCAUGGUCCCAAGACCAUAGUGAAACGGCUCCUCAGCCACGGUCCUAAGACCAUCGAGAACUGGUCCAAACUCGAUAUGCAUACAAAAGUCGAGUUCAGCUAGGGCAUACUGAACCCUUUUUAACUGACCUACCAUGUACGACCUCUUAAGCUUGCAAACCCUCUGUUGCCACUAACGUCGACCCCCAUAUUGAAACAGUUAGUGUAAUGGGCGCAAGCGAGCCCAGCGAUGCGCAGGAGGAUCGCAUGAACAAGUUCGAGGAUAUGGUGCACGCGAUGAUGGGGAAGAUUGAUCGUAUUGACGCUGCACGCCAGUCGGCUAACCAUAAGGCCAAUUCCCAUCAUUCUAAUGGUGUACCUCCACGACAACCUCCUUCAUCUACCUCACAGGACAGUUCAGUCUCUCAUUCGGUUUCUCAAUCAGAUAUUGAUGCUAUGGUCACCCAUAGCCUAAAGAACAGACAAAUUUCGGGCAUACAGGGUGCGGCGCCUUAUCAAAGACCAUAUCCUUCCUAUAUUGAUCAGGUCCCACUCCUCUCAGACUAUAAGAAAGGGAAGUUUCCUCUAUUCAGUGAAACCACCUCCCUAAACCAGCAUAUCGCCCACUUCCAGGUAGCAUGUCGGGAAACAGCAGCUGACAAGAGACUUCUUCUCCGCCAGUUCGUUGAGACCCGUGAUGGCCCAGCAUUCCAAUGGUAUGUCUGUCUUCCUCCAAACUCGGUACAUACAUGGGAGGAGAUGGACAAACUGUUCUAUCAACGCUUUUAUGAGGUCGAGAGAGAAGUUCAAACCAUCGAGCCUCUCACCUUGACUCAAGACCCUAAUGAGCCCUUAGAUCAGUUCAUAUCACGAUGGAGAAACUUGGCUUCGCGCCAUCCUAAUCCUAUGCCCAAGAAGGAGGCAGUCCAAACUUGUGUGCGGAACAUGGGAUCUGAAAUCGCUCUACAUGUAGAGGCCUCUAACUCGACCUCCAUGUCAGAGUUGAUCUCUAAAUCAGUUCGCAUAGAAAUUUUGUCACGCCAUCAUGGUGAGACACGACAACCCUCUACAAGUUCAGCGAACAACCAGGGCAAUGGUGGCUCUCGGAAUAACACACGGGGCAGCCAAUAGAAAGGGGUAAUUAGUGCAGCCGUUAUGGUCACCGUAAGUGAUCCCCAAAUCACUUCCUUAUUGGGGCAAGAAGAUCUCACAAUGCAGGACCUUCCGAUCAAUGACUUAGACUCUGCAGAACCCUCGACUUCCCAGCCAUGGAUGAUCUACCAUGGCUAAAGCAGACUCAAGUCCUUAAGACGAGAAGUGGUUCGCUAACCUAGAGCGGUUUGCCACCCCAGCGAGACGAAUCAGACAUCACUUCAGAAAACCAGAAAGAGAUGGGCACCAAGGGUUGCUCGCUGAAGAUACCAGACCGCUCAACCCACAGUCGAGUAGGAGUUUCUCAGGCCCCUUCCUUCAUUGCUAACUUUGCUAGACUUCAUCCCCGGCACAAUCCUUUUUCCUUCUUCAUAGAAGACGUCCCCGUGUCAUCUUCCACUCAGCAAACUUUUGAUGAGGGUGACGAUGUUAAAAGCACUCCCCAGCGGUCUAAGCAAGGGAAAGACCUAAAAGACCCCUUGCAACUGUCCAAUCCUGGUGAUGACGUAAAAAGCUACCCAGAUCGGUCUGAUGAGGGGAAUGACCUUAAACGUCCCCCACUUUCAAACCCUUCUACACCUUCUUCUCUUGCUUCUCAUUCUCUUUCUCUUAUGUCUUCUUCAGGUACAACCUUGUUGUGCCUAGACUUCGAGGUUCUCGAUCGGGAAUUCGAAGGAAUCAAUAUAAUCAGAACGCAACAGAAGCAAUUGAGAAAAACCCCUAGCACAGGCAGCAGGAUUCCCAACAGCUGCUGAUGCCCUGACAACUAAAGCUAAGGCAGAGCCACCUACCACAAAGAAGCGUAAGAAGUCGAAGCCAAAGAAACCCCAGUGGCCACCUGAGCCUAACUUUGAGCAGAGAUUGAGAGAGUUGAGGGGGCAAAGUUUCUACUCUCAGGAAACUUGCCACAUGAUACAAGUUUGUGAAGCAUCAAUCCAUGUGGACGAAACACUGUACAUAGCUGCUCAAAGGUUGAGUGAUUCACAUUGGCAUACUUCUUGCACUACAAUCGUUGAAUUCCAAAUUCCUUGUUAUCUCCAAGACGAACUCCUGUAGUCCGAGAAACAACCCCUGUUUAUGGAAGACCCUUCCCUUCCUCAAAUGGGGAAAGAUGAAGAAAUUAUAAUCCACUCUGAGCCUCUAUCGGAGGCAGAGACAUCAGGAUCAUGGGCCUCUGUAUUUUAGGUCAAUCACAAGGUCCUUGAAAACAAUGAUGAAGAGUUGCAAGAGACUCCAGAAGAAUUGGUAGAAGGUGGUCAGACCACAACUGAUGAACUUAAAGAAAUAAAUCUUGGAGAUGAAGCGGACCCCGGACCUACCUUCAUUUCAGCAAGAAUGUCUCUAGAUGAGAAAGAGGAGUUCAUUGCCUUCUUGAAAAUGACCCUGGACGUCUUUGCUUGGCAUUAGCAUGAGAUGCCCGGUUUAGACCCUCAAGUCGCCGUUCACCGUCUUGGCAUUGAUCCGACUGUCAAACCUGUCGAACAAAAAUCAAGAACGUUCAGGCCUGAGCUUGAAAUGCAGAUAGAUGCCAAGAUAACCAAACUUAGAGAAGCAGGUUUCAUUCGUGAAGUCAAGUACCCUAAAUGUCUAGCAAAGGUCACUUUGGUCAAGAAGAAGAAUGGUCAAAUGAAGGUCUGAUUUGACUUUCACGAUUUCAAUACCGUUUGUCCCAAGGAUGACUUCUCGUUGCCAUUCAUUGAGAUACUCAUUGACUCCACAGCUCAUUAUCAACUAUUUCCUUCAUGGAUGGAUACUCCGGGUAUAAUCAGAUAAGGAUGACGCCUUCUGUUACGCAAUGAUGCCUUUUGGAUUAAAGAAUGCCGAUGCCACAUACCAGAGAUAAAAGACGACCAUUUUUCAAGACAUAAUGCAUAAAGAGGUGAAGUGUUAUGUGGAUGACUUGGUGGUAAAAUCCAAAGAGAAGGAUGCUCAUAUGAGAGAUAUUGAAAAGGUGUUCAAACGCUUGCGCCUUCACCAGCUAAAAAUGAACCCACUGAAAUGCGCUUUUGGCCCCGUACCCCCGCACUCUUUCUUUCUUAGGACCAGAAGAGGAUUAGAAUAAAGAUAUUCAUGCCGCGUUCGGGAAAAUUCUUAGGGUUCAUCAUUAGACAUCGCGGGCUUGAAGUUGAAUUAGUUAAGAUCAAGGCAAUCCAAGAAAUGCGGUCACCAACUUCACUUUGAGAACUGCGCUCCCUCCAAGGACAAUUGACAUACGUUCGCAGGUUCAUCUCGAACCUCUCAGGUUGUUGUUAACCCUUUACACACCUGCUAAAGAAAGAUACACCAUUCAUUUGGAAUGAAGCAUGUCAGGCAGCCCUUGACAACAUCAAGCAUUAUUUACUCAACCCUUCAGGACUCUCCACACCAGUACUGGGAAAGCCUCUCAUUCUAUACGUGACUGCUUUAGAUGAGUCACUCGGAGCAUUGUUGGCAUAAAACAAUGAAGAGGGAAAAGAGACUGCAUUAUAUUACCUCAGCUGUAGGAUGUAGGGGGCUGAGAAGAAUUGUCCCCCGAUAGAAAAGAUGUGUCUAGCCUUGAUUUUUGCAGUACAGAAACUCUGCCAUUACUUGCUUGGUCAUGAAGUAAAACUUAUAUCAAAAGCCGAUCCUGUAAAGUUUCUCAUGACACACCCAUGUUUGUCGGGAUGCCUUGCUAACUAAGCAUUAUUGCUGAUGGAGUUCGAUAUCAUGUAUGUCCCACAGAAGGCCAUCAAGGGCCAGGCCUUGGCUGAUUUUCUCGCGGCGUACCCCGUACUAGCAGAAUCUCCUUUAUCAAGUGACCUCCCCGAUGAAGAAGUAUUCUGUGCUAACCUUGUUCAUGCAUGGGAAUUAUCUUCGAUGGAGCUUUCCAAUCAGAUCGAGGAGGCACCGGAGUAGUAUUCCUGACUCCGAGAGGAGGAGUAUUCCCACUUUCUUUCUCUCUCGCUCAAGCCGGCUCUCAUAAUGAGGCAGAAUAUCGGGCCCUUAUAAUCAGACUCGAGAUAGCCUUCGAUCUCGACUUGGAGCAGCUUAAGAUCUAUGGUGACUCUGAGUUGGUUAUUCGACAACUUAAAGGGAUCUAUGAUGCGAGAAAAUACACUCUCAAAACUUAUCACGAUACUAUAAAUCGUAUAUCGCCCAGUUUGAAGGUGUAUCCCUGAGUCACAUCCCCAGGAGGCUAAACUCGUAGGCCGAUGCACUCGCAAAAUUCGGUGCUACAAUUCAGUUGUCCUCAUCAGGGCCCACGCUUGUUUGGGUGGCAGAAUGAAGACACAUCGAACUAAGACCCGAGGUCGACAUGGAUGACGAGAGAAAUAUCUUCCCCGAGUGUCCCCUUUAUUCAUUAGGAGCACUUCUAUCGGUCAAAGAAGUAAUUAAAACUGAACACGCAAUAAUACAUAGUCAAGGAGCUAAGGGUCGAAAUCAGGAACCAGAAUUCUUUGACCCAGUGUGUGCAGAAAUUGAGCAAGUAGAAGAUUGAAUAAAGCCCAUCACCAGUUUCUUAAGAUAUGGCAGGCUUCUCGAAGGUCGUGCCGAACGCAACAACAUACGUCGAAUGUCCACCAAGUAUACUCUCCUUGAAGGAGAUGUUCUCUUUAGAAGGUUGUUUGACGACAUUCUUCUUAGAUGUGUCGACAUUCGAGAAGCAAAUAAAGUGUUAGAAGAAGUCCACUCAUGCAUCUGUAGACUACAUCAGUCCGGUCCUAAGCUGUAAGAACGAAUACACCGGUUGGGAUACUAUUGGCCUUCUAUGAUCUUCGAUUCCUUAAGCUACACUAAAAAGUGCUAGGUAUGCCAAAUACACUCCAGCCUGGUUCACCAGCCUCUAGAGCCCUUACACCCUACAGUUGCGUCAUGGCCUUCUCACAAUGGGGUAUGGACAUCGUAGGGCCAAAGACCCCCCUUCUGCAAUGGGUCAUGUUUUCAUCCUAGCUGCAACAGAUUAUUUCUCUAAAUGGGCUUAAGCGGUCCCCGUAAAGCAAGUUCCUGGGACAGCGGUGGCCAACUUUGUUCGACAUCAUAUCAUAUACCGAUUUGGACUGCCCGACUGGAUCAUAUUUGACAAUGGCCCUCAAUUUAGGAGUCAUCACAUUGGUCACUAGUUAACCAGUUCGAUUUCGAGUGGAGGUACUUGACUAUGUACCAUCAUCGAGCGAAUGGAUUAGCUGAGGCUUUUAAUAAGACUCUAUACAAUGUUAUGAGAAAGUCAGUAUAAAAAACAAGGAAGAAAUGGCGUGAGAAGCUUCCAAAGACACUGUGGGCUUAUCGUACUACUACACGAAAUGCUACUGACUCCACUCCUUAUUCUCUGGUCUAUGGGGGUGAAGCAAUUUUACCUCUCGAAAUACAAAUCCCUUCAUUGCAAGUUGCUAUUCACUAAGGAAUAACUGGAGAUGAGAGAGUCAAGCUUCGAUAUCAAGAAUUGGAAGCACUCGACGGAAAUAGGCUAGAGGCUCAGCAGAACCUUGAACUCAACCAAGGGAGAAUGAAGAGGGCUUUUGACGAGUCUAUCAAGAUCUGCUCAUUCGCCCGAGGUGAUCUAGUCUUAGCUGUCAAGAGGCCUAUAGUCAUGCAUAGCCGGUGCAAAGGGAAGUUUGAGCCUAAGUGGGAAGGUCGCUUUACAGUAAAAAAGGUCUCACCCAACGGAGCCUACAUAUUGGCACAUCCUGAUGGAGAAGAGGCAAUUUCCCAUAUCAACAGGCGAUAUCUAAAGAAGUAUUAUCCAUGAUGUGUAUUCAAAAGAAAGGGACUCAACGUGAAAACAAGCAAGAUAGUCCAAACAAAAUGCUAACUCUUUUUAUGUUUAUUGCAGUAAAAAUCAGUUACAAGUUACAAGAACCCAUUACUAGGGAGGGUAAGUCACUUGAAUUUAAAGAUAAGAGGACGGUUACAAACCAAAACUUGUGCUUUUGCUCUUGCAUAUGAGAGUAGCAGGACGAUUACAGGCCAAAACAAAUGCUUGUCCCAUGAGGAAGAAGCAAACCCACGAAAGGAAGGACCUCCUCAUGAAGAAGAAGCGAAACCACUUAGAGAGUUAGCUUUAAUUCAUCUGACGAGUAUGAGGAUGGUUAUAGGAUAGAAGACAAAGCAAAGCCACUCCAAGAAGAUAGCCUCAGUCCAUCCGACAUGAAUGUCAAACAUACAAGCCAGAUACCUCAUUUGACGUGUAUAUCAAACAUACAACAUAGGAUCCAUUCGAUGUGUGUAUCAAACAUACAAGAUGGGCUCUUCUGGCAAGGAGCUAGCUUAUGAUGGAAAGAACACCCUGUUCACAAUGAAGGCCCUUCCACAGAAUGACAUGGACCCCACUGUCGUACUAUUGGAUUUGGUUUCCAACAGGUACCACAGUCCAUGCCACAUCAUUCAUCACUCUUUGACGGCCCAUGACCAUCGCCGCUUGAAGCUCAUCGCCGAACGCCACAAACCUCGCAUGUGAGUUACCGACACAUGCAAGUGUCAUUCUUCACAUCGUGAUAAGCUACACAUGCUAAUCAAAGCAGAUUGAAGCCAGCACUGGCUGGGUCCUCCAGGGGUCAGCACCGAUUGCAUGGCCAACCCCUAGCGCCGACUGUUUUGCUUGAGGGUCGGUGACAGUCGUAUUAGCACUCCAAAUCAUCAGCGUCGGUUACCUUAGCGCUAGUUACACUUCUGUUAGAGCCGGCCCUGUCGUGACUGAUCGCCUCCCGAGACUCCUCAUCUUUCAAAACUUAAGGUUUUACACCUCCUUAAUGGUCACACGAUUUCCAAGGAUGAAGGCCAACCGUCACCACAUCUUCAACAACAAUACGACUUCCCCACGACAUUUCACCUUUAGCAACCGUACACCUUCCCCUGCCACGGUUCACCUCCACGGCGGUCCACCUCCUACGAUCGUUCGUCUUCCACCGGAAUUUCUACCACAUGGCUGGAAGCUCACAGGAAAACCUUCUCGCCUCUCUUUUUGGCAUGGACUUCACCAGAACCUCACUGGGAAACCUUUGCGACACCACUAACAGCUUCGAAAAGUGGUGAUAACCCAAAAGGAAAACUGCAGCCGAAAUUCCUUCCCUUUCGGAGGACUCUCGUUUCCCUGCUACUCUCUCUGCAACUUUGCCAAAUUCUUGGCAAAGUCCGCACGUCGAAGGUCUUCUCUGCAAAACCCUUAUCAGAAUCCUGUUGCUUGUCGAAGAACCUUCCCUGCAAAGACUGUUGCUGAAGUCCCACUGCUCACUGGAAACUUCAACCGAGUGCUCUCUCCUCAAGGUUAAAGAAAACUUGUGAAGUGCUUUUUUACCCUUGGAGAAAAAUAAGGGAAAACGAGGUUUUACCACCUUAUAUAGAUUACAUAGCCCUCAAAAGUCCUUUAGAAAGUUGGAAUUCCAGUUGCGUUUGAGGGAAGCCUAGAGACAAUGAGCCGGGUCAGGCUUCGACAUAAGGCCCAAGGUAACUCUCAUCGAUCCAUCCCCAGCGCCGGAUGAAUUUCCAAACAACCCUAGUGCCGGGUGUGUUUCCAAAUACAACCUUAGCGCCAGUUGACUUAACGCUAGGUAUGUCUCCAAAAUGACCCCAGCACCGGUUAACUCAGAGCCGGUUGUCUUCAGAUAAUACCACGGGUCAUUCAUAACGCCAGCUGAACAGUGCUGGUUGAAGCAGCGUCGAGUGAAUUUCCAAACAAUCCUUGCGCCGAGUGUGUUCCAAAAACAACCUUAGCGCUGAUUGACUUAACGCCUGGUGUGUUUCCAAAAAUGACCCUAGCGUCGGUUAACUCAGUGCCAGUUGAUUUCAGACAACAUCAUGAGCCAUUCACAACGCCAGCGAAAUGUUUAACAACCUAGUGCCGGUUAUGUUGUGAGAACUCAGCACCGAUUGAAUAUUCACAAUAAAUCAUAAGCGCUACCAUGGCGCUGGCCGUAUUUCAAGCAGUGUAUGCCCUACCACUAUCCUAGUGGUGUUGUACCCAAGCCAGGAUGUAUCAUACCUAGUGGACUUGAACCUAAACUGUGACUUCCCUAAUGGAGUUAGGAGCUGUCCCUCAUCCCCCACUAGGAGUCACACCCAUACUGCGGCCCGUAAUUCCCAAUAAAGCUAGGGUCAUUCUUACUUCUCCAAUCCCUAGUGGAUCAGCUUCACACUAAGCUACCUUACCCUCAGGGAGUUGGGUUACCUGUUAUAGAGACUCAUCUUUCACCCAGAGAGUACACUUACCCCCUUUAAAACCACAACGAGGUCGACUUCUGCUGGUCAUCCUUCAUCAGGCCACCAUUUCCAUCUGAACCCUCAAAUUGUGAAUAGUGUUAGCCAUUUUAUCCCUAGGGAGUCGGAUUACCAUCCACAGACCUAUUCUCUAUGAAGCUCUACCUACAUGGCGACCUACACAAUGGUCUAGUUGCACGACCCUAAACUGCACAGUCCAUACUGCAUGACCCUAUACUGCUCAGCCUUGGUCCAUACUGCAUGACCCUGAACUGUUUAGCCUCGGUCCAUACAGCAUGACCUUAAACUGCUCAGCCUUUGUCCAUACUGCAUGACCCUAAACUGCUCAGCCUCGGUCCAUAUUGCAUGACCCUAAACUGAUCAGUCACGGUCCAUACUGCAUGACCCAAAACUGCUCAGCCACGGUCCAUACUGCAUGACCCUAAACUGCUCGAUCUAUGUCCAUACUGCAUGACCCUAAACUGCUCGAUCUAUGUCCAAACUGCAUGACCCUAAACUGCUUAGCCUUGGUCCAUACUGCAUGACCUCAAAACUUCUCAGCCUCGGUCCAUACUGCAUGACCCUAAAUUGGUCGGCCUUGGUCCAUACUGCAUGACCCUAAACUGCUCAGCCUCGGUCCAUACUACAUGACCCUAAACUGCUCAGCCUCGAUCCAUACUGUAUGACCUUAAACUGCUCAGCCUCGAUCCAUACUGCAUGACCCUAAACUGCUCAGUUUCGUCUAUACUGCAUGACCCUAAGCUGCUCAGCACCAUGGUCCGAACUAUAUGACCUUAAACUGUAGCGGAAGUCUAGUUGCAUGACCUUAAACUGCAUGGUCCUAGUUGUAUGACUUUAAACUGCGUAACCAUGGUCUAGCUGUAUGACCUUAAACUAUAGUACACGUCCUAGCCGCAUGACGAUAAAAGGCUCAGCACCAUGGUCCGAACUAUAUGACCCUAAACUGUAGCAGAGGUCUAGCUGCAUGACCUUAAACUGCAAGGUCCUAGUUGUAGGCUUUAAACUGCAUAACCCUUAAACCAUAGUGCACAUCUUGGCUGCAUGACGAUAAACUUCUUCGCGCAAGUCCUGGAGGCAGGACCAUAAACUCACCGCCACAUACGCGCACACGCCUUUUUGUGCACUUUCAUGCAUGCCUUCUCUAACCUACCUGUUAGUGUGUGCGCACCACCUUCAUUUCCUCCUCAGUGAGUUCAUUCCUUUCAUCACCAUACAUCAUUCUCUUGUGAGUCUCACCCAUGUUAAAAAGACGACGAACCAUUCCGCCAUCCAUACUCGUUGUAAGUUAGUGGGUCACCAUCAUCCACUCAUAUUUCAUACAUCGUCGCCAAGUGAGCCAAACCACCACCAUACUCAUUCCAUGGCCUUGAUAGACUGUCAUCCAUCACCAUUACAGUCCAGCUGUAUGACCUUAAACCAUAGUGCACAUCCAGGCUACAUGACAUUAAACUGUUUCGCAUAGGUCCCGGAGGCAUGACCUUAAACACAUUCUCACAAAAAAUUAAUAAUAAAGGAAUAACAAGCAUGGUGUAUACCUGAACAAGGGAGCACUAUGAGUAAAAAUGAUAGACGGGCAUGGUCACGAAACCAUGAGUAAAAGAGUUCCAUGAAUAAAAACUGGCCACAGUGAAAACCCGAAAGGGCAUCAUGAGUAAAAUUGGACAAAAGGGUGGACAUGGCUAAAAGGUCAUAGGUAAAAGAGCUCCAAAUAAAAAGAAGUCAGUGAAAACCUUCUCUACAACGCUGCUUCCCAAGUUCAAGCGAAAAUUCGCAAAGGACACUUGGACCAAUAAACAGGUUGAUGCAGUACUCAUCUCAACAGGCGGCUUCCGCCCUCACUCAAAAGAAUAAAAUCCCUGGUGGCAUAAAACUAGGGAUCCAAAAAUUUGAGCUUCAAGGAAAAGAUUCUGACAGUUUGAGUCCAGUUGCAAAAAGGACUUGAAAGACAGAAGACUCUCCAAGACGACAAGACAAGUCUCAUGAGGAAGAACAUUAUUCUCACGAGGUCACAAUUACACCCUAAGAAAUAGACAUUACAAAGGCAAGAAAUUGACAAAGCAAGGGGAUAACCUGUCAGAGACUUCAGCUUGCCUAGCCGACAGGCCCAGACCUUUAGGACCGGCUAACACUGCCCCUAACUGGACCUGGUAGACGAGACCCAAAGUGGUACUCUGAAUGUUAAAAGCAAACUUGGUGUAGCAGCAAACACAUCUACCAAAACAAACCAACGAACCCAGACCAAAUAGGAACAAUGCCCUUCACCAUGACACUCAAUUGCCAAAUGGGCCCGAUUCUGACUGACGAGGUCCGUACAAAAUCCUCAGAUUCAGAAUCACAAACAGUCUGCAUGAGGGCGAGGACUUUGACAAGAUCCCUCAAAAAAGUCUCUUCUCCCCCUAAAGUCUCUACGGACGGACCCACGAACAAUGCAUCCCUUCGUCUGAGCAACCUAGUUACACCAUUACGCAAAUCUCCUCGGCGUUCACGUGGUCCUGUGGCUAGGAAGGAAAAACGUAAAAUCUAAAGGAAACUUUCUGAAUGAUUGUCCUUCUCGCUUCUCUUGAACCAUAACAUUCGGUAGGGCAAGCUGUUUGAACAUAUUUUUCAGCACCUUGGUCCCUGGUAGGAACCUAGUCAAUAAAGCCUACAAAACAGUGAAAAUUCUUGACAAUCUCCAAAUCACACCAAAAUUGGCCAAGAUCGUCAUCAGCACUCCAAAAGACCACCUACCGAGUUUCGUUGCAUCCCGACAUGUUUAAGGCAAUGAACACAAAGGAACAGUUUUCGACAAAAAUAGUUUCUCACACCUUGAAACGGACCCUACAAUUGGAACUACAUUUUGGGUGUUUCAACUCACUGUGGAACCACUGUCAUUUGAUCCGGCACAGUCGAAAACCCCUAUGGAUCAAGUUUCGACUUAAUCAAACACUGCAGAACAAAGAUAUGAGAAAAACAUUGAAACAGGAAGGGCCACACCCUAUUCUCAUGUGGCUUCACUGCACCAAAACACCAUUAAAGGUGGUUAUUUUUACAGUCAUAGGCAGUCACUUUCGGAGCCCGUAACUCACUCAUUUUAAGUCAGAUCGCGUUCAAAUUUGGUGAGCGUAUUCAUCUAAUUAAGACGAAUAAAUCGAUAUGUGGCAUGCCCCGAGAUGAUUUCUGAGCAGGGAGAAAAGAUUGAGAGAAGUUGCUGAUCCAUGAAGAAAUUGUAGAAAAUUUAGCAACGAAAAGCCUCUCUCGAUGGACCAAAUCACGACGCUCGCGCAACAGAUCAACGCGAAAUCUCGACCACCAGAUUCCAGAUUUCGGGCAAAACUCAAAAGUUGCGAAAUAUUCAUUGGACUCCAAAUCACAUUUCAUUUUGUGCCAUGCAAUCGUGAUGGCAUGCUCAGUGCACUACGUUGAAGAAAUCAUAGAAAAACAUUAAGGAACAACCACACUAUCGAUCCGAAGUUUUCAAAAUUCAAACAAAUUUUAAAUCUCGUGAUCAUGGCUCAAAAACAUGAUUCAUGGCUCGAAGUUGAUGUCAAAACGAUCGCCAUGCCUAGAUCUACAAGAAAACAAUAAUCUUUCGAUGAAACAUGCAUCAAAACACCCUCGACUCAGUCAUGGAAGACACACAAGAUCUCGAGCAUCAGCAGGGACUGUUAUGGAAUUCCAUAUAUUGUUAGGCAGGGGUAAAAAAAUUCAUAACAGUCCCUGCUGAGUGUGUCCAAUUAAAUCUGAAUUUUCAACAAUUAGGUCUAAUUUUGAUCAAUCCGCCUAUGUUUGGGGACAAUUCUAUAUAAACAGACACUACCUCAUUGUAAAAAGGACUCUAGACGCUCGAUUCAUUCUUUGAGGAUUCAAUAAAAUUUUGAUUCCUUGGUUGAGCCUGUGAGUGUGUCUUGGAGAGAGAGAGAGAGAGAGAGAGAAAAAAGGAACGAUACCUUAGACAGGUAACUUACUCUCUCCUCCUCUCUCUUCUCUUCUCUCUCUCUCUCUCUCUUCUCUCUCUCUCUUCUCUCUCUUCUCUCUCUCUCUUCUCUCUUUCUCUCUCUUCUCUCUCUCAUUCUCUCUCUUUCUCUCUUCAUCUUUAUCUCUUUCUCUCUCCUCUUCCCAUCUUUAUCUCUUUCUCUCUCAUCUUUUCUUCUCGUCUCUAUCUUCUUCUGUCAACAAGCGAGACCUAGCCUCGGUUGGUCUUUUCUAUCUUCUUUUGUCAAUUCAUGAGGCCUUCUCUCUCUUCUUCUACCAGUUGGCAAGACCUAGCAUCGGUUGGACUUCUCUCUCUUCUUCUCUCUGUCGGUGAGAACUAGUGCCGAUUGGUCUUUCUUAUCUUCUUUUGUCAACUGGAGAGGCCUAGUGCCGGUUGUCCUUCUCUCUCUUCUUCUACCAGUUGGUGAGGUCUAGCGUCGGUUGGCCUUCUCUCUCUUCUUCUACAAGUCGGUGAGACCUACGGCCGAUUGGACUUCUCUCUCUUCUUCUACCAGUCGGUGAGACCUAACGCCGGUUGGUCUUCUCUCUCUUUUUCUAUCAGUCAGCGAGGCCUAGCACCGGUUGGCCUUCUCUCUCUUCUUCUAUUAAUCGACGGGGCCUAGCAUUGGUUGGUCUUCUCUCUCUUCUUCUAUCAGUCAGCGAGACCUAAUGCCAGGUGAUCUUCUCUCUCUUCUUCUAUCAGUCGGUGAGGCCUCGUGCCUGUUGGUCUUCUCUCUCUUCUUCUAUUAGUCGACGAGACUUGACAUCAGUUGGUGUUCUCUCUCUUCUUUUAUCAGUCGGCGAGACUUAGUGCUGGUUGAUCUUCUCUUUUUUCUGCUAUCAAUCGGUGAGACUUGGUGCCGGUUGGUCUUCUCUCUCCUCUUCUGUCAAUCAGCAAGACCUAGCGCCGAUUGGUUUUCCCUCUCUUCUUCCGUCAGUUGGCGAGACUUAGAGCCAGUUGAUUCUCUUCCUCUCUUCUCAUUUGACACAGUUGGUAAAGCCUAGCGCUGAUUGCUUCCUCUCUCUCCCUUCUCUUGAAACAGUCGGCAAUGUCUAGCGUCGACUGCAUCUCCUCUUCCUUCUUCUCCCUCCUCUCUUCCUUCUUCUCUCUCCUUCUGUCCAUUCCCUUCUUCUCUUUAACUAUUCCUCUGCCACUCUUUCGUUUUACCAAAUGGGAUUGAGGUUAGCAUCUCAUGGCAGUUCUGUCGUCUAGCCGUAAUGUUGUUGCACUUGGUUCGCUUGGCCCGCUUUAUUGCCACGACAGGCCAACCAUCGUGCUUAGCUAGUCGAUAUUGACGAUAGCGUCUAGUAGCAAUCCCGUGAGCCGGUCUCAGUUAUUGAGCCCAUUUCGCUACCACGUUACGCCAAUUAUCAACCAGCCUAGUCACUGCUCUGAUCUUCUCACUUGGUCGAAUCUUCUCUCCCUCCCGUCUUUCUUUCUUCUUUUUGAAUACGCCUGCUUGCAUAUGAUCAUGAAAGAGGAAGAGGGUGAGGUCUGACCCACCUGUCCCAUAACCUUUGCAAUCAGGAAAGCAGAAAAUAAGAAGAAUACGAGCUAAGGGAGGUGAUUCCAAACCAGUUUCAUUACUGAGGGGCUAUCUUCGUGAUUUAAGAGGGUGCCCACGUGAGUCAGCCCGAGUAAGUCCUGAACCCAACUUUAAAUUCCUCUCUCAUUGGUUGGUAACACCUGCCCCCUUUUUCGAACAAGGUUCCUGAGAGAGCGAUCUCACAAACGUCUCGGGUCUCUCCUGAAACCCGAGACACGUGCCGCCUGAUCCUCCACGGAUCCAGACGGUGAGAUCGAGGCACUUAACCACCCGUCUUGCUACCACGCCUGGUCUAUCACUUGCUGACCUAGCUGAUGUGUUGGCCUUGCCACCUAGUCGAAAUUCCCCUGAUCUACUUCUUCCAUCUUCUUUCAUCUAUUCUCUUGCCCUUUCUUCUUUUAGAUGUGCACACCUGUGUACAUUCUCUCAAAGAUAAGGUGGGGUCUCUUUUGGCCCACUUGUCUUGUAAAAUUAACCCUGUGUGUGUGAUUGCAGAAACAAGAGAAUAUAGGCUAUGGGAGGUGAUUUCGAACUAGUUCUAUGAUUAGGGGGCUUUCUUCAUGAUCUGAGAGAGCGUUUAGGCGAGUUAACCUAAGUAAGUCCCGAACCCACCUUAAAUUCCUCUCUCAACGGUUGAUAUACCUGCCCUCGCUCCUGAGUGUGGUUCCCGAGAGAGCGAUCUCGAAGUCCCGAGUUCCCUUGAAACCCGAGACACGUGCCACCCGAUCAUCCAGAUCUGGCAGGCGAGAUCGAGGCCACUAACUUUGGGUCCUUAAAUCAUUCCCCCCUUAAAAAUAUUUUGUCCUUAAAAUUGUCAGUUAAUCAAAUAAAUGGGGGUAUUUAUCUUGGAUUUCAUCCUCUCGUUCCCAUGUUGAUUCUUCUCGUGAAUGAUACUGCCAUAGAACCCAGACCAGGGGAAUCUCUUUGUUGCGCAAUACCUGAACCUUCCUAUCCAGUAUUUCAAUCGGCUGUUCAACAUAAGUCAAGUCUUCCUUGAUCAACAUUAGACAUGGGACGGAUCGGGCUGAUACUUUCUCAAUAGUGAAAUAUGGAAGACAUCAUGAAUAUUAGCCAACUCCGGCAGUAAGGCCAGUUGUUAUGCCGCGACUCUAAUUUUUCUAAAAUUUCGAAGGGUCUGAUGAAUCUUAGGGUUUGUUUUCCUUUCUUUCCAAACCUCAUAAUGCCCUUAGUUGGAGAUACUUUCAAAAAGACCCGAUCACUUACUUCAAAUUCAAAGUCACUUCGACGAUUAUUGACAUAACUCUUUUGCCGACUCUGAGCCGUUUUGAGCCUUUCUUGAAUUAGGUCAAUCGUUUUUUAUGUCAUUUGAACAAUUUUCGGCCUUAACAAUCUCCUUUCGUUGACUUCCUCCCAACACAUUGGUGAUUUGCAUUUCCUCCCACAUAGGUCCUCAAAAGUUGCCAUUGGAAUACUAGUCUGGAUAUUGUUAUUGUAUGCAAAUUCUAUUAAAGGAAAGUGAUCAUCCAAGUUUCCUUUAAAGUCUGCAACACAUACCCUCAACAUAUCUUCUAACGUCUGAAUGGCCUUUUCUGACUGUCCAUCAGUAUGGGGGCGAAGAGCAGUACUAAAUGUGAGUCCCGUCCCCAAGGCUAUUUGCAGACUACUCCAAAACCUCAAAGUAAAUCUAGAGUCCCUGUCGAACACAAUGCUAAUAGGUACUCCUUGCAGUCUUACAAUCUCUUUGACAUACAAUUGAGCCAGUCCAUCUAGGGUAUAGGUAGUGCGGAACAGCAAGAAAUGGGCAGUUUUAGGUAAUCGGUCCACAAUAACCCAAAUUCUAUCAUGGCAAACUGGACACAAAGUCCAUAGUGAUGUGUUCCCACUUCCAUUCUAGUGCAGGUAAGCGUUGUAACGGCCAGACAGGUCUCUAAUGUUCAACCUUCACUUGCUGAUAGAAUCUUGAUACAUCUUUGUGCUUCCUAGGUGUAUAGUAUAACGGGAGUGGUGCCCUUCCUCUAAAAUAGCCCUCUUUAUAUUCUCAUCACUUAGGACACAUACUCGUUCUCUAAGUCUUAAUAAAUCAUCACUGUCGAUAGAAAAAUCCUCCUUUCUUUCUCACUUUAAGUCUUUCAGAAUUUUUAUAAGCUGGUGGUUUGUCUUUUGUGCUGCCUGAAUCUGUUGGAAGAGUUGAGGUUCCACCCUUAUACUCGCAGUUACCCCUACCUCAUUACUAGGUGGUAGUGAGGGUCGCCACUUCACUGUAUCUUCUAUCAGUUUCAUUUCUCGAGCCAUCAGAUGUGCUACUAAUAAUAAGGGUUUCCAACUCAAACCGUCGGCUAUUACAUUGGUUUUGCUCAGUUGGUAAUUGAUGGUGCAAUCAUAAUCGUUUAGCAGGUCCAUCCACCUCCUUUGCCUCAUAUUCAACUCUUUUUGAGAAAAUAAAUACUUGAGGCUCUUAUGGUCGGUAAAUUCUUAAACUAUGCCCCAUAGAGAUAGUGUCUCCACACCUUCAAGGCAAAGACCACAACCGCAAGCUCUAAGUCAGGAGUCAGAUAAUUUUGUUCGUGCGACUUUAAUUGUCUAAAGGCAUAGGUUAUAACUUUCCUCGUGCUGCAUUAAUACACACUCAAGUCCCGUAUGGGAAGCAUUAGUGUAGACCACAAAGCCUUCAUUUCCUUCGAGAAAGGUUAAUAUUGGGGUUGUAGUCAAUCUUUUCUUUAAUUCUUGAAAACUCUUCUCACAAUCAUCUGACCAUAUAAAGUUUACCUCCUUCUGGUUCAAGCGAGUUAGGGCUAGCGCUAUCUUUGACAAGCCUUCUACAAAACGCCUAUAGUAUCCGGCCAGACCCAAACUACAGACUUCUGUCACAUUUAUCGGCCUUCCUCACUUAAGUGCAGCUUCAAUCUUACAAGGGUCAACUACGACCCCAUCCUUAGAAAGAAUAUGCCUGAAGGCCACACUUGAAAGCCAAAACUCGCUUUUCCCCAACUUAGCAUAUAACUUCUUUGAAUAUACCAGAAUAUCAUCUAUAAAGACUACUACAAAAUCAUUUAGGAAGGGUUUAAAACCCCUGUUCAUCAGAUCCAUGAAGACAGUCAGGGCAUUAGCUAGCCCGAAAGGCAUUACUAAUAACUUGUAGUGACCAUAACGAGUUCUGAAUGCUGUCUUAGGUACAUUUUCUUCCUUAACUCGCAACUGAUGGUAACUUGACCCAAGGUCAAUAUUGGAAAAUACUGGGGCCCCUUGGAGUUGAUAAAAAAGGUCAUCAAUUAUAGGCAAGGGGUACUUAUUUUUCACAGUGACCUGGUUCACUUUCUGAUAGUCUAUACAUAGCCUCAAAGACCCAUCCUUCCUUUUAACAAAUAAGACAGGUACACCCCAGGGCGACACACUAUGUCGAAUAAAUCCCUUCAUCAACAACUCUUGUAAUUGCUCUUUUAAUUCCUUUAGUUCUACUGGGGCCAUUCUAUAAAGGGCUUUAGAGAUGGGGACAGUGUUAAGGACCACAUAUAUCUCGAAUUCUACUUUCCUAAUCGAGGGCAGAGAGGUUAACUCUCCAAGAAAGACCUCUGAAUAUUCCCUCACCACCGGUAUUUCUUCCAACUUGGACCCGUCCUCACGAUUCUCUACCACAUACGCUAAAUACCCAACAUAUCUUUUAGUCAGCAAACGGGAAGCCUGAAUAGCCGAAUAAAAUGCAGAGGGGAAACAUCCUUGACACCAAUAAAGUUUAAUUUAGGUUGGUUUAGGUGCCUAAGUGUUACGGUCUUAUCAUGGCAAUUUACUGUAGCAUGGUAUUUAGACAACCAAUCCAUGCCCAAAAUGACAUCAAAAUCUUGGAUGUUAACAAUAUUAAAUCUAUAGGCAGUUCACACCCUUCAAGCAAAACCUCACAGUGUUUAUAAACAAUAUCAGGUUCUAUAGAUUCCCCCAUAGGUGUGCAUACUACCAAAAUCUAGUCAAGCAGGGAAGGUCUAAAAUUAAUAUGGCAUGCAAAGUGAGGUGCAACAAAAGAGUGUGUAGAUUUAGGAUCAACCAUAAUUUUUGCUUCAAUGCCACAAACGGAGAGCGUACCUUGAAUAACCGAAGCUGAUGCCUUGGCUUCCGGUUUGGUAAGGGAAAACACCCGACCUUGGGUCUUCGGUCUGUUUUCCAGUCCCCAAACUGAGCAAUCUCUAAUCUGGUGGCUUGGCUAGCCACAUCUGAAGCAUGCCUCUGUCAUCCUUCGGCAGUCAGCUGUCGAAUGGUUAUUCUUCCCACAAUGUGGACACUUUGGGCACUAACUCCCUUAUACCGCCUGGCAAUGUCUUGUGAAUCUUCGUGCCCCUAUGAUUUUCUCUUCCCCUAAAGUUCCUCGGGGUUGGUCGAGCUUUUCUUCUCAAACUUCCAAACUGGGCUGGUCCCAUUCUCCAGUUUCCUCCAACCCGGGACUCUUCACAGUCCCUCUCAAUUUUCAUUGCCAAGUCCACUAAAGGGGAGAAAACUUUCAGAUUUUUUGAUAUCACCCUCCCCCUUAUUUCUGAUCUAAGGCCUCUCUCAAAUUUACUUGCCUUCCGUGUCUCAGUAUUGAUGAUAUGUGGUGCGUACCUCGAUAGCUCAGCGAACUUGGUUGCAUACUGCUCUUCAGAUAGAUUUCCUUAUUGUAGCUCGAUGAAAUCUACUUCUUUUCUUUCCCCCACAGAAUCAGGAAAGUACUUCUCAUUGAAGGCUUCCAAAAAAUUUCCCUAACUUGCUUCUAUCCCUGACCCAGGACUGCUUCAUUGAGCCCCACCUGUGCUCAAUGUCUCCUUCAAACAUGAAGGUUCCUAGCCUCACUUUCUGUUCAUCAAUACAGUUCAGAAAUUCAAAAAUUUUCUUCACCUACCUUCUCCAUCUCUCAGCUUUCUCUACUCCCCCAAGCCCUAAGAAGGUUAGAGGAGCCAACCUCCUAAACUUUUCUAUCAAGUUUUUGUCAUUAUGGUCAUGGGCGGGGCAGAUGGGAUCGGCGUAGCUUCCUUCAUCAUCUGUGUCAUGGCCCCCAAGGUUCUGAUAAACUCACCGAGGGCCUUGGUGUUUUCAUUACUGGAGUUUGCAUUAUUGGCCCUCCUCCUCAGCAUUUUCACCCUAAGACACAAACACUCAGUUACUAAUCUACCCAAAACUAUUCUAAAGAUAUUUUUAAACUCCUUAGGCCAAGAAUCCUAUCCUGGCUGCUCUGAUGUCAUUACUAUCAUGACCCUGCCACCUGACCCUUACCGUCCCAUACUGAAGGGCGACAGAGUGCGAGAUCGCGACCGGAGGUUGCGUACCUCACUCAGAUGGAAGUGGCAUCAACACGUGUUAAAAGUGCGGAAUCAAAGCAAACCAUGAGAAGAAAGUAAACAAAUACUCCAUCAAGCACUAAAAAAUGAAUAAAUUAAAACCAUUAAAUUUGCAUUCAAACUCCAAAAUCCUUUACAAUAGAGUCCAAGGCUUACGACCCUGACAUUAUAAUACAUCGCAUUAGAACAACACAGUGGCGCCACCACCAGACACCUACUAUGCAGAAGAAACCUUGAUAGAUCUGAAACUUCUAGCGCCUGCCGUCACCACUAUGCAGCUUGACUCCCAAAAUCAAAUGCUAUCACUCUACAUAGAUGAAAGUAGGAGGAAUGAGCUCAAAGACCAUAGAUCACUACUCUUGUUUUCCUACCUAUAUGUGUAUAUAUAAUAACAUGGUCUACGAUUCAUAAAAAAUCAUACUGGCAUCACAGAAUAAUAUCUCACAUCAGGGUACAUACAGUUCUUGUAUAGAGAGAUUAACAUUCAGUUUACAGAAUAUCACUUGUUCUCGAUAUAGAAAUCACAGUUACAUUUAAAUGUUCAUGUAGAAUGCUUAAAUAAAAUAGGCAAAACAGAUCUAUUUACUCUCGAAGUAGAAGCCACAUCGGUCAGGCUAAGAGAAUCUUGAACUUGGGACUUCUACCCUCAUAUAGAAGGGAGGACAAUGACAAGUGGAGGCCCCACUUGGUAAUGCCCUCACCCACACACACAAUCCCAAGUGCGCUUUGGCGUUUUCGAUAGGCUGCGGCCUUGCAAGACACAACCCUCGCCUUACGCCUUUAAGCAGGAGGGCAUAACACUUCCGUUGGAGGACCUAAUUGCGUAGUGCUUAUGAAAAAUUGGGGGCGCGACCCUCCUUAUUACUUACAGUCACCUCUCGACUCCACUCCUAUCAUAUGGGUCGAGGUACAGUAUACCUCGCUACCAAUGAAGGACCCAUUUCAUAGCAGUCAGUACCAAAAUAACAUAAUCACAAUAUCCACUACCAAUGGAGAACCCAUUGCGUAGCAGUCAGAUAUCAGUAUUCAUAAGGCAGAAUCUGAAAGUCCACUACUAAUGGAGGACUCAUUGCGUAGUGUUCAUGGCACAUCACAGUAUUCAUAUAGCAGAAUCAGACAAUAUCAGUGUCACAUAAUGGCCGUGUUAAUAUCACAGAAAAGCAACAUCAGUAUCAUAGAAUGAUAGUAUUAAUAUCAUGGGAUGGCAAUGUUAGUCUCACAGAAUGCCAGUAUCAGCAUCACAUCUUUAACAAUAUCAGAUUCACAUAAUAACAAUGUCCAUAUCACAGAAUAACAGUAUUAGAUUCACAAAAUAACAAUGUCCAUAUCACAUAAUAACAAUAUCAGAUUCACAGAAUAAUAGUAUCCCUAUCACAAAAUAACAGUAUCAGAUUCAUAGAAUAAUAAUGUCCUUAUCACAUAAUAAUAAUAUCAGAUUCACAGAAUAAUAAUGUCCAUAUCACAGAAUGAGUGUUAUAAAUGCAAUUUCAAGCCGUGACAUCUAGUCGUAAAUAUGGUCAUAGCUUUUGAUUCGUUUUGAAUUUGAAUACGGUUCCAAAAUCAAUUUUAAACUAGACACACCUAUCUUUCAAUGGGGAUAGUUUGAGAGAAAUUGGACCUUGUUUGGCCUCUUAAAAGUUCAAAAGAAUGGAGAUGUUUCAUCUGAAAUCUGCUGUGCAGUGAAGACCGUGACAUGUCUUUAAAAAUAGUUCAAUAUCUCCGAAACCAGAAGGAAUUUCAAAAUUUGAUUGACAUGUAAUUCUAAGUACACACAGAGAUCUUUUAAGAGGUGGUGGUUUAACAGAAAACAUAUCUUUUUUGGUCAGUCAAAGCUCGUGGCAACAGAGGUGUCAGUUUUGGGCUUUUGUAGAACUGCCUACAGUGAGAUACUGUCGCAAUUAAUCAUAUAAUUCUCGAAUUCGGCAAAAUUUCAAAAAGUGAUAAACAAGUGAUUUUAAGCUUAUUCAUAAAUAUUUCAAAUAGUGGUGGUUCGGAAGAAAAUGGACUUGAUUUCGUACGUCAAAGCUCGUGACAUUAGAGACAGCAGUUCUGUGUUUUUACCAAAAGUAUCCACAGUGACCUACUGGCAUAUUUCGAAGUAUAGCUUUACAUACGUAAAGGAUCAGAAAAAGAUGUGAACAAGAAUAUUGAAAUAUACCCAGAAAUAUUUUCGAUGGCGGUGGUUUGAGGCCAACUGAAACUCAUUUAAUAGGCCAAAAGUGGAUUGCAAAAACAUGAAAACUUCCAGGAAUUUUACAGCACAGUCACAAUACUACUUAAUAUGAUACCCAAAUGGCCCAUAACCCUUCCACUUUCAAAAGGAUACUUAAGAACACAAAGUUACAGACUUUCUAUGAAAUAUAAGACAAAUUUUGAUGCUUUUUGUGGUCAUGCAAUUGCAAUUCACAUGGCUGAAAAAUUCACAACAUAACAGUGAACAUAACAUCAUUCAUACUACUAACAGCAUGUACAAACACAUUGUUAAAUCAAAGUCAACCUUACACACAAAAUACCUACAAGGUAGAAAUCCGCUUACCUUGGGUGUAUCGUGCCACCAAAACCUUUUUCCACAGCCUUCUUCAACUCUUAAAGUGAUUAUUCUAACAUUGAGUUAAAAGGGGAGCUCCUUUUUAGUUCUUCACUUUGCCUUAGAGAAAGAGAGAGAUGAGGAGUGGAGGGGUGUGAGAGUGAGAGGGAAAGAGAGAGAGAUGAGGAAGAGUGGAGGGGGUGAGAAUGAGAGGGAAGAGAGAGAGAUGAGUGCUGGGGUGGUUAAAUGGGUAGUGAGAGAAGGGGAGGAGAGGUGGCAACAAUCCACCUCCAAGUGGCAUGAGAAGGAGGUAAGGUGGCAAGCAAAGGAUGCCACUCGGAGAGUAAGAGAGAAAGGGGAGAAAAAGAGAAAAAGAAGAGGUAGUCCCUCAUGGAAUACCUCACACCAACCGCCUCUGUGGUCUAACCCACUCCCAUGCAGCUGGACAAAAAGGCGGACACAAACCAUGCACGGUAGUGUCACAACCGGCGCUGCGCACCCGGCAUUACUCCAUCUUUCUCUUCACUAGCGGCGACUACACAAAUGAGCUCCCCUCGUUCGCAAGCGACGUUGCGUCACACUACACAGACGGGGAUGCCCCUUGUUUGCACGCGGUGUUGCCUCACACUACACAGACGGCGAUGCCCUCGUUCGCACACGACGUUGCUUCUCACACUGCUGCGCUCUCUACAACUGCCGCAUGUUCUCACUACCGCGUCUGUUCUCUCUGCCUAUAACUCUCUCACUGCCAUGCGUGUUCUCUCUGCAUCGCGCUCUCUCACUGCCUUGUGCUCUCUUACUGGUCGGAAAAGUUUGGGUCCUUACAAUAUAUUAUUGGGAAUGAACAAGUUCCCUAGGUUUAAUCCUCUAUUGCAAUUUAUGUUAGCAUUAAUUAGGCCGAAUACCAUGGAAUCUUAAAACCUAUGCCUACAAUUCUAAGAAGAAAAAAAUAUACAAUCAUACAUAAAUGAAACAAUAUCAUGGACAAUAUGAGCCCAUAUACCUGAACUUAAACGUAGGGGUAUUAUUGUACGAUUUUCUUCUCCUUUUUUAUUAUGCUUCAAGUGGGUUCAGAAAUAAUAGCUUCUCUCUCUUCCAAAUACAAUUAAGAAAACAAACAUAUAUGGGACUACUUCUUGAUGUACUGCUUAUACAGUUACUCUGUUAUCUCUCUAUCUCUAUCUCUAUCACACUAAGUAUACUGUGUGAUGAUUCAACUUGGUCAAUCCAACAUAAUCAAACAUCCCUCUGAUCAAGAAGUGAGGUUUAUAUGAACAUCUAUCAAUUGAUAAUCACAAAAUAUGCUAUCUUCAUCCACUCAUUGAUUAUGCGUUUUCAUCUUCACGAUCCAGUCUUCAAGAUGAUAAACAUGUAAUUUGAAUACAUUUGAAUUCACACUCAAGUGUCUUAUGAUGAUAAUCACAUAUUUAAUCGAUGCUUAUCUAUCUUAUAUUCAAUUUCGAACUCACAGCUUCCAGAUCCAGCAAGGACACUGUGUGAGAAAAAUAAGGAAUCUGUUAUCUCUUAUUGAUCGUCAGUAUGUCUUCGUAAUUCUUCAAUUACUCUUUGAUGAUGAAUUUUUUGAUUGUGAAAUUUGGAGAUAUGAAAUAGAACUCAGAGACGAACACCAUAGUCCAAGUGUCACUUAAAUUGGACUGUGGAUGAGAAAAAUCUAUUGGAAAUUGCAUUAGCAUCCUUAGUAUAUUAUAGACGCAACCGCUUCCCCUACAAGGAUUAUGACAAUGCUGCACCUUUUAAGGGGGAUACAACAUCGAGUCAUAAAUCCAAUAGUUCUGGUCCAAUGAAGAAAUUCCUCCUAUCUAAAGAGAAAUCCUAAUUUUGGUGGCCCGGGGGUCAUCUUGGCUUGAACAGACAGUGCAUAAGCUUUUAAGGCUCUUAACUCUCACUGGAUACGGAUGAUGGGUUAAGCCACCUCCAAAUUAUAUGAAACUUUAGGGAGAUGGAUAUCAUCCCUCAAAUAUGAAUCCUUNNNNNNNNNNNNNNNNNNNNNNNNNNNNNNNNNNNNNNNNNNNNNNNNNNNNNNNNNNNNNNNNNNNNNNNNNNNNNNNNNNNNNNNNNNNNNNNNNNNNNNNNNNNNNNNNNNNNNNNNNNNNNNNNNNNNNNNNNNNNNNNNNNNNNNNNNNNNNNNNNNNNNNNNNNNNNNNNNNNNNNNNNNNNNNNNNNNNNNNNNNNNNNNNNNNNNNNNNNNNNNNNNNNNNNNNNNNNNNNNNNNNNNNNNNNNNNNNNNNNNNNNNNNNNNNNNNNNNNNNNNNNNNNNNNNNNNNNNNNNNNNNNNNNNNNNNNNNNNNNNNNNNNNNNNNNNNNNNNNNNNNNNNNNNNNNNNNNNNNNNNNNNNNNNNNNNNNNNNNNNNNNNNNNNNNNNNNNNNNNNNNNNNNNNNNNNNNNNNNNNNNNNNNNNNNNNNNNNNNNNNNNNNNNNNNNNNNNNNNNNNNNNNNNNNNNNNNNNNNNNNNNNNNNNNNNNNNNNNNNNNNNNNNNNNNNNNNNNNNNNNNNNNNNNNNNNNNNNNNNNNNNNNNNNNNNNNNNNNNNNNNNNNNNNNNNNNNNNNNNNNNNNNNNNNNNNNNNNNNNNNNNNNNNNNNNNNNNNNNNNNNNNNNNNNNNNNNNNNNNNNNNNNNNNNNNNNNNNNNNNNNNNNNNNNNNNNNNNNNNNNNNNNNNNNNNNNNNNNNNNNNNNNNNNNNNNNNNNNNNNNGAUGGAUUAAAAGAGACAUAUUGUGUCUCAUCAAAACUCCUCUAGUAUCAUUUGUAGAGGCAUAUAUGGGCCUUAAGAGUAUACAUAUCCUAAAGUGUGACUGAUGAUGAAUUAGAAAAAUAUAUCAUACCGCAUCAGAUUCCUCCAAUUAUCAUAUGAAGAGGCGUAUUGGGGCCUUAUGAAUAUAUGUAUCCUAGAACCUAUCUCAUAUUGAGUCGGUUUUAAUACCUUCUAUGAUCAACUGUUAGUCAAAAUGAACAUACUUGACCAACGAGUCAAGACGUUGAAAGCAUAUUGGGGCCUUCAUAUGAUGAAUCCUGAAUAUAUCAUAUCUGUCAUAUCUUCAUAUCAUAUCAAGGACAUAUCUUGGUAGGUAUCAUAAAGAACCAUGCUCAUAUCUCAUCCACUGUCUGUUAAGAUAGUUAUUCAACGUCCAUCAAAGACUUCUCGUUAUAAUGAUAUCUUUAGUCCAUCAAGUGUAAGUUAGAACUUACUUCGUCUCAUAUGGGAACUAAGAUAAUAUUUGCAUAUCUUCAAGGUUUUAAGCUUAUUAGGCUCAUAUAUCUUAUUCAUUGUCUAUCAUGACAUGUAUCUGGCGACUGUAAAAACCGUUAUCUUACAAUUAGCCUCCAACCUUAUCAAGUGUCUAUCAGAAUGUAUCUAGUUUCAUAUGUGACUAAAGGUGCACACAACAACAUUCCAAAAGAUUACAUAUGCUAAACUUUUGGAAGGGAUAAUGCCUUUCACCUAAGACACUCCUGAUGGAAGACACUAUACUCAUUUAGAACAACGUACUAAGAUAAAGAUGAUGCAACACAUGUUUAAGAAGUGACAAAGACUCCAAAACCCCCAAAUAGUCAUGCAGAACCAUGUGCCAUCAUUAGAGUAAGACACAAGGACCAUUAUGCUUAUUAUAUCGUAACUUCUGAAAACAGGCGAGAUCCUCCACUCUCCUCCAUGGGCAUGUGGAGUCUACUACACUCUUUCUUGACUCGUGUAGUAUACUAUACUAUAGGUUAUUCGGAAAGGCUCCAUAUAAACAAUUAAGUAUCUAUUUAUUCAUAUUUUUAUUGUCUUAUCUUAGAAUAGAAAUGAAGGAAAAAUUCAAGGAUUUCACGGAACAUACAUUAAUUAUGGAUUAGUACACCAUGAAACGAAAACAAAAAAGUAUGUUAACUAAUCAUGAACGAAUCAUCCAUUCGAUAAAUAUUGAAAUGAAGUAAAUAAACUCAUUGGAAUGAAAGAACAAGAUGUAGUUGCUUCUUAAAAUACCUGCACAAAUAGCUAGACACAAUCUAAAUUCCCUUUACAUAAUUUCCAAUGAAAUCAUCAAAUAAAGGGAAUAGGAGGAAUCCAUCCAUCAGAAUCAGAAAGGAAUGAUUCUAUCAAUAUCUCCUGGAGAUUCCCUCCAGGAAGGUAAAGUAGAAAUUAACAUGAUUAAAUUAAGAAAAAAAAUAUAUAGAAAAAUAAAUUCAAUUCAAAUUAAAUUAUUAAAAAAAAUACCACUAAUCAAAGUGCUCGACCCUUAUAAAUAAGACAAGCAAAACGUAAGAAAGCAACCGAUAGAGUGUAGGCAUAUUCAGACAUUUAUAUGUUGCCAUGUUAUGAACAAGUUCAUGCAAGCAACUACUACAAGUAGACCUACUUCCUAACUCUUCUAUAUUUCUUUGUCCGACGAAUCCAUCUGUGAUUGAUUAAACAAGGAUUUUUCAUAUCUCCAUUGUAUGAGACAAUGAAUGUAAAUAAUGAGGCAUCUACAAAUACCUUGGAACUAUAUGAUACCUAAAAAUAAAAUAAAGCUCAGAUCAUGGAUGUCCCUGAUAGAGUGGUUGUUGAAGAACUUUUGAGUUUGUCAUGUGUUUUUCCCACAUUUCAGAUUAAAAUCACCCCAACAUCUUUGGUGACUCCACUGGGGUGCAGUUCACCUCUCUUCUUUCCAAUCACCACUCGAAUGGCUUGAGGUCAAAUGAAUUCGUCUACUUCUUUCAUGGUCGAAAUGAUAUGCGUUGCCGUACCGACCAAUGUUAUCUCUUUGACCAAUAGUCACAUGGUCAUUUACCUGCAAACUACCACCGUUUAACCAUGGAGUUCCCAUUCAAAACCGUCUCAACAAUAGAAGAAUACCUCGCCCUCUCAGGAUUUUAUCAUGGUGAGUGCUCCCAUAACCACCCUUGUUAGAGGUGAUAAGGGUCAGAUGGCCCAAAUUUUCAUAUUCGGUGAGAAGAGGUCGUCUGCUCAUUCUUUCCUCGAUUAUGUGGUAGGAAGAAAGGAAAGGUUUUCAAACCAAUUAGAGCAGGGGUUAUCAGUCAAAUUCCCUUGGUUGAUGUGAUUUUAGAAUCGACAUUGAUUUUAUCUCUCCAUGCACUUGAAGCCCAUAAGGAUUUUAAUAGGCAUUUACCUUGCCCUAUAUCUGGUAAGGGAGCUGCCUCACAAAAAUCCUUUGCAGGAGGUAGAUAUCAAUUGUUUCACCAUUACAACCUCCUCAGGUGUGAUGUCCUUAUCAAUCGCUUAAAAAGCUUUGGCUUACCCUAGAGUGGGAUGAUUACAAGUUUCAAGCUCUACGCAAGUAUAAAUGAAGUAUUGAAUAUAUAUCAAGCCCCCAACAAGCGACUAGUUGGGCCGAUAACGCUAAGUAUAUAAAAAGGAGGGCCCCAAAGCUGAGAUCUCCUCAAUACAUUCCUAUAAGAACUAGAUUAUAGGUUCUAAGUUCUACUCAAGCAUAAAGGGGGGAUUGAACUUAUGUCAAGCCCUCGGCGAGUGACUAGCUAGGCCGAUAGUUAUAUAUCUAUUAAGAAGGGCCGAUUCAAUAUUUGGCCCCAUAGUAGUGACAAAAAUGAAUGCCUCUAUCAGACCCAAGCCCUAUGAAAGGAUUAUGGGGGUAGGAUGUUAAUUUUGUCUCCCAACCUUUCGAUUGGAUGGGACCUAGCAGACCGUCACUCACGUAAUCUUGAUAAAUUGUUGUCUAUUUGCUUUGUGUGUUUUUUCAUCUUUUAUGUCAAUUCAACGACAUCAUAGCACGUUUUUGUGACAUGGAUCAAUUAAAGAGGACAUAUCGAAAAUGGAUGUUAGUUGGCAAAUAUAUAUAAAGCUGCACAAAUUGCGAGAGUUUCUGGAAGCUAUAAAUGAAAAGUUCUGGCUCUCAUUGAAAAUCUUCACAACUUCCCUGUAAGUGCCGAUACCUUCAUCACUAAUAUAGGUGAAGCUAUCGAAUGUAACAUGGCACUGUUGAGUGUGCUUUUAGUCACAUACAAGAUUAAAUACAUUUUAAUAGAUGCUUGAUCCAUUAAAAGCAUAGUUAUAUGGCAAGCAUUUAACAAAGCUAGAUAACUAUCUUGAUAGACAAGGGACCCUAUAUGCCUCUCCAUGAUAUGGAAUGAUAUGCUUCUUAAUCCCUAGUCAGUUACACAUGUGUAUUGUAACAGACGAUCAAUGAUAAGAGACCAUGAAGUUGUUUCAAUUUGAGAAAAACAUUCUAGGAUACAUACACUCCCAUGACCCACAUAUGGCUCUCCGUAUGAUAAUUAGAGGAGUUUUGAUAAGAUGCAAUAUGUAUAUUUAAAUCCAUCGUUUGCCAAGGAUAUAAUGCUCAAUAGAUGGAUCAUAAGGAAACGUUGUUGUAUGAUACUAUGAUGAGGUAUAUCCUUGAAAAUUUAUAUAUCAUGAGGUCUUAUAUGCCUAUGAGUCUAAGAAUUAUACAAAUUGAGGAUCGUUCAGAGUUAGCUUAACCCGGAUGUCCGUAUCCAUUGGUAGUUAAGAUAUACCUUGACCAACACCCAAAAACUAUAUGUUUGAGAUUGAGACGAGACUUUCAAGAAUUCAUAUUUGAGGCAUUAUAUCCCUCACCUUGAAAUUUCAUAUCAUUCAGAGUUGUCUUAAUUCAUCAUUCGUAUCCAUCGACAAUUAAGAGCCUUCAAGGCUAUGCAUUGUUUGUUAAAGUCAGGAUGACCCACGGUUACUAAAAUUGAGAUUUCUCUCUAGUUAUAAGGAAUUUUCUCAUGGGAGCAUGACCAUUGGAUUCUUGACUCAAUGCUCCAUCACUCUUAAAAGGUGCAACAAUGUGAUAGUCAUUGAGGUGGAAGCAGUUGCACUCGUAAUGUACUGGUCUUGCUAACACAAUUUCCAACAUAAACAUGUUAACUUAGAUGGACUAGAUCUCUCUCAUCUGUGAUCCGUUUAAAGCGAUACUUGGACCAUUGUGUUCAUCUUUGAGUCAUCUACUGUCUCGCAAAAUUUCAUGAUCACGUAAUUCAUCAUCAGAAAGUCAUUGGAUAAAUACAAAGACAUAUCAAGAAUGUGUUGCAGAAGCAUAAGUGACAGUUUAUAAGCAAUAACAGAUUCCUUAUUUUUCUCAUGCGGUGUCCUAGCCGAAUCCGGAAGCUGCGAGUUCGAAAUUGAAUAUUAGAUAGAUAAGUAUUGACUAAAAUGGGUGUUUAUCAUAAGAAGACACCUAUACGUUCAUCAAAUUACAUGUUUAUCACUCCAAAGACUGGAUCGUAAAGAUGAAACAUGGGCAGCGCAAAAAUGUAGACUGUAGUUUGGGAUUGAAAAAGAUUAUAUAAACCUAGUUCUCGAUUAGACAAAGGUUUAAUUCAGUUGGAUUGACAAAUUUGAAUCAUCAUGUAGUAUACUUAGUGUGAUAGAGAUAGAGAGAUAAUAGAGUGACUUUAUUUACAAUACGCUAAGAAGCAGUCUCAUAUAUGGCAGUUUUUUGAAUCGCAUUUGAUAGAGAAAGAGAAGUUAUUGUUUCUAGACCCACUCGAAGACCGCUCUUGAAAAUGAGUAGAUCAUACAACAAUUUCCCUGCGUUUAAGUUCAAGUAUAUGGGCUCAUAUUGCCUAUGGUAUUGUCUUAUUUUUGUAUGGCUGUAUAUUUUUCUUGUUAGAAUCAUAUGUAUGGGUUUUAGGGUCCGAAUCAAGGGUAUUCGACCCAGUUUAGGCUGAUGUAUUGUAAUAGAGGAUUAAACUUCUGAAACUUGUCCAUCUCCAGUAAUAUAUAUAAAAGUUAUUUCUAUGAUACAGAAUGCACUGGAAAAUUUGACCUCAAGUGUGUUGUCCUUUGGUUGUUCAUUUAGAGUCUCAUGUUUCUUUAAACAUCUUAAUUGAUUAAUCUGACGUCACAUUUUCGGAGUAUCCAGGUGUGUGGUAGGUCAACUUAGGGGAGGUGCAGAGCCCAAAUAACCCAAUGAAAGGAUGAGCAUGUUUCUUCUCCCCCGAUGGAGGAGGAAGCAUCUCUUUACUCUUGUUUAUACUUGAAAUUGUGGGUAGGGGACUAUGCCCUUGUCUUGAUUUUGGGUGCAAAAAAAUCGAUGAGUUGGUAGAGUAUGGGUUCCAUCAAAUUACACUGAAAGGGAGAAUCGGGUCCUAGGACCUUAUCCUUCUCGAAUCGCCGACAAAGCCGGCUUCCCUAUUAUCUCAAGCUUGGAACUCAACCAAGAAGAUGUUGGAAAAGGUUUAGAGAUACGAAAGAUUUUAGAAAAAUAGAUGUAAAAUGAGGACGAAAGAAGAAAUCACAAAUAAGCCACUAAACUAGGGAGAUACAAAUAAACAGGAGUAAAGAAUCUAACUACUAGAUGCAAGAAGAACAAGAAAUUCAAAAUCAUGGAAGCAACAGAAAGAGGCUAACCUAAACAUGCAUGGCAUAAGAUGAGAAAGAGAGAUAAUACCAUAGUGAUGCGGGCGUGGUUGCAAAGAAGGAAGAGGAUGAGGUCCUUGUCGAUGAGGCAUAGAGAUAUGAGAAUGAGAAGUGAAUAAAAAUAAUAAUAUAACAUAAAAAAAAUGUAAAAUAGAAGAGAGGAGAGUAGAAGAUAGUCAAUACUAAUCAACAAUAUGCAACAAAAGUAACAAGGCUAAAUAAAAGAAAGAAAUGAAAGGAAAGAGCAUAAGAAAUAGGGUAAGAAUGAAAGCGAUAGAAAGAAAGAGAGAAUGAUGCAUUAGAAAAUGGAGAAAUGAAUAAGUAUAGAUUAUUAACAAAAUAGAAAGGCCAGAAACAGAGAUAUAACUAGGAGAAAAUGGAGACAGUUGACGUAUUGAACAAAAUAUAGCGCAAAAGAUAAAAUAAAUAUCAAAGGGAGUAGAAAGUGAGGGACCUGAAGAAGAUGAUGUCAAAAUCAUAAGAUAACUGGAAAGAAAAAAGAUUAAAGCAACAUGUCCCUAACUAAGGCGGAAAAGCAUAAUAAGGAAAAAUCAAUCGUCGUUCAAGUAGAAUGCAUAGGAGACAAGAGAGAUUUAUGUUCUCAUAGUAAUAAAGAAGGUGAAGAAGUGCAAACACAAUCAGUCAAAGAAAUAGGUGGAGCUAGGUAUAAAAACGCUAUUAGCAAAUAGAGAAGAUGAAGAAUCAAAGUAAAGAUAUAAAAUCUAUACUAAGAAAAUUGGGAAAACAAGAAGAGACUCCAAUACUACAAACCCAAAAGAAUACAUGCUAUAAAAGGAAAGGAAAUCAUCAUUUAAUGAAGAAGAAAAUUAGGGAGAGAGACCUACCCCAUCAUUACUAAUAGUAAAGAGAGGAAGAGGGAUAAACACAAAUAUCCUAACUAGAAAUAAAUGCUCUCAAGAAAGGAAUCAAGAUUAUUUAAUGAAGAGGGUAAGAGACAAAAGAGGUUUGUUGAGAGGAGGAUAUCUACACCAUUAAAUGAAUAGAUAAGGAAAAACAAUGAAUGCCAAAAAAAGGAAAUAAAUGCAAACCAACAAAAAGGGAGAAUGAGAAUAAAUAUAACUAAUCUAGCACAAUGAAUACUACAUUGAAUAAGAGAGCAUUAAAAGUAGAUAAACACAGGAGGAAAUAAAGGAAAACUAACAAAUCUAACUAAAAGAUGAUAAAUGCCAAGUUUAUAAAAGGAAAAGAAAACUUUAUCAAGAAAUGAAGAAGAGGAUGAAAGAAAUUAUAAAUGUGGGGGAUGAAUGAAACUAAAUCUAAGGAAAUUAAAUAAAAGAAAGAAGAGAGGAGAAAGCGACAUAUAGGCGGGGCCCUCAGGCUUGGAGCCCAGAGUCGCCGCCAAUUCAGAUAUUAAAUUUUCACAAUCAACCUGAACUUUCUCGGUUCUUAACAUGGCAAGUAGAAAUAAUAAGAAGGGGGCUUAAAAGGUCUGAUUAAUCAGACCGCCUUUGGUUUGAAGUGUGGCUUGAAGGAGUUUGUGUUUGUAGCUUUGGAAUGAAGGGUUGGUAGGAUGGGGGUUGCUUAAAAGGGGCUUUCUCUCAAUCUCAAGCUUAGGAUUAAGAACAUGAGAUUUUUUAGCAUAGUUUAGGAACAAGAUCAAAAGAACUUAGACCUUUUUCUUAAGGUGAAGGGGAUUUUUUAUAGGAGAAAAUGAACCCAUGACAACUUGUAUUUAGUUUGUGUGAAUUUUGGUGUCAUCAGAGCUUUGGUGCCAUUUGUAAUGGCGCUGGUUGGACUAUCACAAAUUCAUUAAUGCUCGCUCUAAUGACAGUCAAUAGAAUUAAUAGCUCAUUAAUGUUGAUCUGUACGAUCUUUCAUAUUUUGGCGCCAUUGGCAAGGGCACCGAUGACAUUUACACUACUGCCAAGCACUAUUCAGGACACGUGGCAUGCUCUGAUUGGUUUGAUUUUUUCAAUCACAAUUUGAAGUGGUUCUGACUAGUGCUGACGAUGUUCCAAAUGUCAUCGAAUACCAGCUGUCUAACCGUCUUGGUUGUACUUGCCUCUAAUCAUCAUCCAAUAAAAAAUCGACAACCUUGCUCCGUACUGACAGCUGAAAUUUCUCAUACUCAGAGUGGGUCUGAGCCUCACUCUCUCUCUUUCUCUCCCUCUCUCUCUAUCUCUCUCUCUCUCUCCCUCCUUACUCGGACCCAGGGUGGGUCCAAGCCUCGCNNNNNNNNNNNNNNNNNNNNNNNNNNNNNNNNNNNNNNNNNNNNNNNNNNNNNNNNNNNNNNNNNNNNNNNNNNNNNNNNNNNNNNNNNNNNNNNNNNNNNNNNNNNNNNNNNNNNNNNNNNNNNNNNNNNNNNNNNNNNNNNNNNNNNNNNNNNNNNNNNNNNNNNNNNNNNNNNNNNNNNNNNNNNNNNNNNNNNNNNNNNNNNNNNNNNNNNNNAGUGGUCGUCGCGCUCCUCUCUCUCUUCUCUCCUCCUCUCUCUCUCUCUCUCUCUCUCUCUCCCUCCUUACUCGUACCGACGGUCGGGUCCGACGCCUCGCUCUCUCUCUCUCUCCUCCUCUCUCCUCCUCUCUCUCUCUCUCUCUCUCAUCUAGACUUGGACCUGCACCUAUGGUGGGUCUCGAACUUUCUUCCUUCAUUUUUCUCCUUCCUCUCCCUUACUCUCCCUCUUGCUCAGGACACGAACCAGCACCAUAGUUCGGUCCGCCUCUCUCCUACUCUCUUCCUCACUCUGUCAUCUUCUAACCCUAUCUACCCCUCUCUUGUCCUCUAACUCUAUCUGCCUGUCACUCUCUCGGCUUCUAACCCUAUCCACCUCUCUCCUGUCGUCUAACCCUAUCUGCCCCUCAUUCUCUCAUCUUCUAACCCUAUCCGCUUCUCACUCUAUCAUCCUCUAACCAUGUUUGCCCCUCUCUCUUCCUCGACCCUAUCCACCCCUCACUCUCUCGUCUUCUAACCCUGUCAGCCCCUCUCUUGUCAUCUAACCACCCUAUCCGCCCCUCUUUCAUCUUCUACCCUAUCCACCCCUCCCUCUCUUGUCCUCUAACCCUAUCUGCCCCUCUCUCGUACUCUAUCAUAUCCAUCCCUAUUCGAAUCUCUACCACUAUCUGGCCCUUCGUGAACCCGAACUCGUGGCUUAGGUAGGGCCAUUCUAUUCACUCUCCACUCUGUCACCUCCUCCUCUAUAUCAUCUCCUCUUAGAGUCCGAACGCACACCAUAGGUAGGUCCAUCAUCCCUUGACCCUAUUCACCUCAUUUUCUUUCACUCUAAAGACCCUGUUCUUUCUAACUCAUACCUUAACUUCUCACCCAUUUUACUUUGUUUUUAUUUCAUCAUUUCUUUAUUUCUCUCUUUACUCGUUACUUCUUUCACCUCUUGAGCACUCGAUUAGGGGUCAUCUUGAGAUAGUGCCAUAGGGUUCUAACAUUCGAUUUGCUACUUUAACCAUCAGCUUGUACAGUGAAGUUGGGUCAUAAGAGAUACUGAUUCUCUUACACUCAGUCACUAGGGUUGGGGUCAUCUUGAGUUAGCUUUCUUUACAGUUCUAACCUUUCCACUACUCUAACCACCGAGUCACACAAUGCUCAAGUUGUGAGACGCUUUCAUUUCUCUCUCUCUCUCUCUCUNNNNNNNNNNNNNNNNNNNNNNNNNNNNNNNNNNNNUCUAUCUCUCUUCUCUCUCUNUCUAUCUCUCUCUCUCUCUCUCNNNNNNNNNNNNNNNNNNNNGGUUGGGUCGUAUCUUGUAGUUAGUACUUCUUUACUACGUUACUAACCUUACCUACCUACUACUACCACCGACGUACACACAACUAGCUCUACGUUAGUGUAGUACGCUUCUCUUCUCUCUCUCUCUCUCUCUCUCUCUCUCUCUCUCUCUCUCUUUAUUUUUCACCUUAUUCUAAUCCUUAAUCACUUUUAUGUGGCUAUUUGGUUUAGUGACAUAGUUACUGACUCAGUCCUAUAACUUCACUUUCUAAAUCCUCCGAGUACCAAGGGUUAAAGCCUGGUGCUGUUCCUUGUCACCGGUAAUACAUCUUAGAAGAGGUUACACUAGGAGGAUGCCCAAGUUUCUUGAGGUCAUUCUUUCACUUUUUGUACUUCAUUUUUUUCUUCUUCUCUCUUCUGAACCAAGUUCUCAUUCACCCAUUGUUAUUCUCUUCUUUCUUCUCUCUCUUUCUUAUUUUCUUUAACUACUUUAGCCUCAAAACUAGAACCAUUAAUCCAUAAAGCCCAUCAAAGAGGAGCGCAUUAUAUUUGGGUUUCAUUAGAAGUUUUUAAAUGAGAGUCCAUGUGAGAUAUCAAGUUUAGAGAGGGGGACCAAAUUCAAACCACGUUGCUGGAUAGCAGGAGGGCUUCCAUUCAUUGACCUAAGAGGACAAUAGCCCGGGCUUAUCCCACGAACUCAAACCAUGGUGAGGUAGGUGCUCAAGUCCAUCUCUUCAUCGUUUUAAAAUCCUCUCAAGCGAGCCUUUUUGAAAACAUGAUGUGCUGAGACGAAGACCUAUUUCUUCUGCUAUGGUGAAGGUGGCAUGUACCUCCUAGUUUUGCAUUUUACCGCUGACCUCUCUCUCCUAGGGGAGCAUUAUGAAGAGUUCACCCCGAGGACGACAUUAUCUUCGGAGGUGGGUUCCACCAUGGGCUUCGAAGGCCCAUAGGUGAGCCGAAGAAUGACUCUUCAAUGGUCCUGAAAUGCCUCCUCCUCUUACUAUAAUGAUGCCUUAUCGCCCUGAUGUUUGAGAGUGGUCGAUCUAUUUGGCCUCCUGUAUUGCUUUGUUCAUGUGCCACUUUGUGCUUCCGGACUCCAGAGGCCAUGUAGUCAGGCCAAAAUGCCUUUAUGCUACCUUUAAUAUGGCCGAAGGCCAUAGAUAUUCCUUAGCCCAGCCUGUGCUAUGUAGCAUCUACAAUGGGCUGACGUCUGGAACAGAUCUUGAGAAGGUCUUGGGGAAUUCCAGGGCUCCUUUCCCCGUCCACUACAUUUAUGGGUGGAUCAAUGCCUAUUUUUCGAGUACAUAUAAAUAUUCUUUAGAUUCCAAAGUUGACACAUUUCCCUUCCUGCUUUGUCUAAUGGGGUGUAAGGUAGUCUUUCACUCACCUGUUCAAGAAUGGUGAUUGUAUUGAGAAGACAACUUGCUUUGGUUUAAGCCCUUUCCUAUCGGGGGCACCCAAGAAUUCAUGGAUGAAUAUGCACUUGGAAUCAAGAGGAUCCCAUGCACUGAUUGAGAAAUUAUGUCCCUUUUGAACAUCCGAGGAUCUUUACUUCCAUUGAGAGUGGGCAACCAUAGGUUUGCUGAGUCAUACAACCCUCAUCGCUUUGCAAGGCAACAUUAAAUGGACCGCGAUUGCCCAACUUUAUCAAGCACAGGCCUUAGUCAAACCUUCAUGUGAAGGUGGCAUGAGAUUCUUGCACAUUGCUGAGUCAGUCCUGCAGGUUCAUCAUCCCUAACAGUAAUUGGAACGUUUCCAUAACCUGCAGCUAUUGCUCUUGGUAUCAUGAAUACCAACAGGGCUUCUUUUAGGGCCCUAUCAAAGCCAUGCUCGAUUUUCGAAAAGACAGAACCUCGUAUACUCGCUUCAAACUGAGGUUCGAUAAAGUUUCGAUGAGCUGGACAACUGGGUUACGUUUUGUCGAUGGAUGGAAAGUCAUAAGCGCCACAUCUGAAGGGAGAAAAUGUCUCAUAAGGGGUGAUCGGGGGAGACUUGAGUCUCAUUCUACCAUCAUCUUGACGAUCUGCUAGCCCCUAAGGCGAAAACCCCGGGAUGCACUAGAGAGCAUUGUUCACAGGAUUGUGAGAAAACAUAAGGAUUUGGUGAGCAUUGUUGAACCCCGGCUCUAGUGGUUGAGCCCAAAAGUGAGAAGUCGGGCAAAGGCCAGACCGUCUCAUCAAGCAAGCCUUCAUCUGGGCAUAAUAAGAGAAGAAAGGAGAAGAGUUCAACCCAUCUUAUACUAAAGGAAGCUUGGUGGUGAGGAAAGAGGAGAAGGGGCCCUCUCCUUCUCGUGUAGGUUUUAAGGAACCCAGAGGGCCUCAUGAUACGAGCCCGAAGAUAGGAGAUCAUGACCACAAGAUGGUCCAUGAUGCUAUCCCUUUGGCCAUGAAAGCCUUUAUAUCAGAAUUAGCCCUACAGGAGACACUGAGGACUAUUAAUCUAAUUCUCAGGGGAAGAGGAAGCCAACUGAUUCUACUCCCUUGUUGUUGCCUUUGAGGAGAUCUUUGAAGAAGGUCAAAAUCUUAGACUCUCACAAAGAAGAUUUUGGAGCAUCUGCUACUCUUUUGCUAGCAACCUCUUUAGCCUUGGUCGUUUCCAGCAGAAUCACGUGGCGUUCUAAGGCAAGUGCGAUUUCUUCUAAGCCAGGGUUUCGUCAAAAGCCUAUGGUUAGGAAGUCAACAAGGCUAGAGAUCAAUGAGAUAGACUUUCUUGCUUCCCCUGACUCUCCAGUAUUAAACAAAGUGACUCCCAAAGAGAAUUCUCCCUAUGUGGGUGAGGAGAUGGAAACCUCGAUAGUUACCGAGGUUUUUGAUCGAGAAGAAGGUCUUAUUGAUGUGUUAAAGGGGAUUUACCCUUCACCACACUAGAGCGACGACUCUUCCUCAGAUCCUAGCAUGGCAUGAAGUCCUAUUUCAGAAGCUGCAAUCACAGAGGAUGAGUUAUGGGAGGAAAAAGGAAAGGCCGCAUUAUGGAGAACGAUCCUUCAAUAGUUGACUUGUCUACAGUAGUUGCCCUCUUGGCGGUGGGUUUGUUGGCCGAGUCAUUCCUCACUCAAGCGGAUGUGGAUGCUAGGUUAACCAAUGUAUUUGACCAAUUGGCGGGUGGUGAGUUUUUUUAUGCUAACCCUCUUGAGUCUGGGAUCCCUUGCCCCCCCCCCCUUCCCAACCCCCCCAUUUUUGAAGAGGAUUCCUUGGCUUCGCACUCCAUUUCUUUUGUAAUUACAAGGCCUGUCUUUUCUCAAGCCACUAAUGGGGCUCUUAUUAGUCCUCCAACCGCUUAAGAAAUUUCAAAGAAAGUUCAAAUAAAUGAUGCUUCUGCAACCACACUAAUCAUUGAGGUUUCUUUUCUUGCGUCUCAUCUUAAGGAGGGUGCACCUGAAGGGGCCGACACCAAAAUUUUCGAGGCAUCAAAUGCAGCUGAAAUUUCUGAGGUGCUAGAGACCGACCCUGGGGGGGACCUGAUUGCAAUUGCUAAGGAUCCCGAUGGUCUCAUAUCAUCAGUGCUAAAGGAACCAUCGUUGAUAAGUGCCCUCUAGAGGCAGAUGAGUGUUGACAUGGUAAGGACAAUCUUCAGGGCCAUUAGCAACAACUCUCUGCCCGGUCUUCAAGAUACCUUGUCGACCAUUUCUCUAAUGGUAUUCUGGGCUGGGGCGCUAGGGGCUGAUGAAGAAAAGCUUCAAAAGCUAGUCAUUCAGGUCAAUUAGGAUGCGAGAGACAUGGCUUCUGACUAAGAGGGGCUUGCUCAUGCUUUUCCCCUUAUGAUAAGAAAAUCAGAAGACGCUAUCGUUAGACUUGAGAAAGCGGUUGCUAAAGAGAAGUGGGAUUUCAGGGCAGUUCAAGACUGUUCAGGACUCGAUGGAGGACCUUCGCGAUCAAUAUGAUCGGGUAGAGACUUGCAAGGUUGUGGUCCUGAAUUCUAUCAAAAAGGCCGAAAGUCUUAUGGCUACGCAGAAGACGAAAUUAAAGAGGAUAGUGGCCCACUCGUACCAUCUCUCUGAGAGAGUGGAUAUUGCCUUUCCCAAGCUUCAAGAUAAAAUUCGUCGGGUGGACACGGUUGCAUCAGCAGCCCUUGCGGAUCAUGAGGGUCUGGCAUAACUAAACGCUUAGAUGGCGGCAACCGGACAGCAAGUAGAAGAGAAGAUCUAAAGCUAGAGGAGCUUCUGUGACGCUUCAAGUCUCUUUAAUUUCUUGUCCUCUUCUUUUUUUUCUUUACUAAGAAUGAUAUUCCCCUCUUUUUUUUGAACUUUUAUGAUCAUUUCGGGAUUAUGUAAGAGGAACCAUGCCCUUUUAUGAGGUUUAUUCUCUUUCUUUUUAUUUCUAAUCUUAAUAAUCACAUCUGACAUUUCAAGAUUUCAAAGGAAUUUUCAUAGUAUUCUGUUAAUCCUUGCAUACUUCAAAUGUAUGCUAUGAGAAGGCAUGCCGAAGCUUCUCAUAUCCUUCUGUAAAGGGGUAUGAGUGUCCUGAUGCUUUGUAGCCUUAAGAAUUUUCAAAAGAACUUUGUAGUUUAGAGUCAUUUGGGAGGAAUUUUGUGAAAAUCCUUCUUAACCCAUUAUAAAAGAGUAUGGGUCGCCAAUACUUAGAGUCCUAGAACUCCAAGGAGGUACUGUAGUUUAAAGUCAUAUAGGAAGGACGAUGUGAAAAUCCCUCCUAACCCUUUAUAAAAGAGUAUGGGUGGCCAAUACUCAGAGUCCUAGAACUCCAAGGAGGUACUGUAGUUUAAAGUCAUAUAGGAGGGACUACCUGAAAAGCCUUCCUAACCCUUUAUAAAAGAGCAUGGGUGGCCAAUAAUUAGAGUCUUAAGUCUCCAAGGAGAUACAUCUUUUAAAGUCAUACAGGGGGGAUUAUCUAGCGAUGUCUUAGGUCUUACGUCGUAGACCUAUUGAUGGAUCUUUUAGGUCGUGCAUCUCGAACCGUGGGUAGAGUCAUGUACCAAAACUAUAUAAAUGGUAGUUUAAGGUCAUAUAGACAUGAUUUAACUUGACUCAAUUUAUAGUCGUGAGAUAUGGACUAUGUGGCAGAUGUUCUAGAACAUCAAAGCUGGCCCUUGUAGAUCAAAGGAAACUUGUUGUAUGCUAGAUAGUCUAAAGUCUUGCAGCUUGGACUAUGCUCUAGGCAGUUUAAAUUCGUACAUCUUGGACUAUAUGGAUACUCAUAGAUAGCAUUUCUUCAGAAACCUCCCGUUAAUUGGGGGCAUGGUAUCUUCUCCCUUCUCAGCGCAGAGGAGAUAUGCUCCGGCAGAGUAUGCUUUUUUUUAUUACAUAGGUUCCAUCCCAUUUGGGUUGAAAUUUAGAUUGGGAUGCCCCAAUAGGCUGCCGUACGGCCAAAACGAAAUCACCUGGUUUGAAUGACUGUAAUCUCACUUUUUUUUGUUAAAAUCUCAACUUACCCUUGCUUGGUAAACUUUUUGAUUUUGCUGAGCGAUGAGCAACUUUUCAUCAAGCUCGUUCAACUCGUUGUGCCAAAGUUUGACUCGUUUAUCUUUGGUUAACCCGUAGUAAACUGCUACACUUAAUGAGGCUAAUUGAACCUCAAAAGGCAACAUCGCUUCUGAACCAUAGACUAAUGAAUGUGGAGUUGUUGAUGUGGUAUUUUUCCUCAUUGUCUGAUAUGCCCAAAGAGCCUCGAGGAGUCUUUCAUUCCCGUCACUCUAACUCUGAUUCAUGGUCCUUUUUAAUACUUUGCAGAGACUUUUGUUAAAGGCCUUGACUUGUCCAAUUGUCCUUACAUUUUACAUGGAUGAAUGCCUCCAAUCGAUUUUAAACUGGCUAACCAAUUGAUGGAUGUGAUCGUUUUCAAACGGGGAUCCAUUGUCUGAUAUGAUUCUAUUUGGUACCAUGAAUCGAUACACAAUAUGGUGGAGAAGAAGUCAGCCACUGUCUUACUAGCUACCCUCCAAAGAGGGAUGCCUUCAACCCACUUUGAGAUACAGUCGGUGGUUGCUAGUAUAUAUAGAUGGCCUUUUGCUAAGGCUGGGGUAAUGGGUCCCACAAUAUCCGUUCCCCACUGAGAGAAGGGCCAAGUCAUGAGAGUCGGAUGCAAAGGUUCUGGUGAUUGGUGAAUAUAGUCAGCGUGUACUUGACACUCAUGGCAUCUCUUUGCAUACUUAAAUGUAUCUCUCACCAUAGUGGGCCAAAAAUACUCCAUCUGAUGCAAUUGAUGAUAUAAUUUGGGCCCAGAUUGGUGCAUGCCACAUACCCCAUCAUGCACUUCCUUUAACACUGCAUUCCCCUCUUCAUGUGAGAGGCAUCUUGAUAACAAUCCGUCAUGUGACAUUCCAUUUACUUAGUCAUUGAGAAGGGUGAAUCUUGUGGCUUGCCUUUUAAGGGAUAGCCUAUCCUUCCUAGUUUUAGGGAGUUGGCUAUGAGCUAAGUAUUCUAAGAAGGGCUAACGCCAAUCUGGUUGGGGCGCCCCUACCACUGCGACCAUAUCAUCGGGGUAGGUUCUUCUAUUAAUUUCCUCAUAGCUCCUUGAGGGUAUGGAGGAAAUUUUUUCCAUAGAUUUUCUUCUUCAUUGGGGUCUGCUCCUUCCAUCAUGGGGAUGGAUCACCAUUCUUGUAUGGGGACAUGAAGCGGAACCCCGAGUUCAAUGGUCAUGGAGGCUCCAAGCUUAGCUAGUGCAUCAGCCUGAACAUUCGACCCUUGAGGAAUAUGUGUCAGAGUGGCCUCGUGCAUCUUUCCAAGGAGAUACCUCACAAUAUUGUAAUAUGGCUUUAGCUCAUCUUUGUGAACUUCAUACAUUCUUUUCAGCUGGCGAACAAUCAGUAGGGAGUUGCCAAAGAUGUCGAGGAAUCCCAAGUCAAGUUCUAGCGUCACGUCUAGACAAAUGAUCAAUGCUUUGUACUCGACCUCAUUAUUUGAAUAUUUCUCGUUUAAUGAGAAGUCAUAGGGAAAGAGUCCCUUAUCUGGUGUGAUGAAUAUUAUGCUUUCUUUUGCUCCUUUUGCUUGAGAAGCUUCAUCAAGAACAUUUAUCAUGAGGAAAUCUCAUUUGUGCACAUGACUUCCUCGUUGGUCAGAUCUUCAUUCAAAGGGGAUCCUUCAGGCAGAGGAUGAGCAGCUAAGAAAUCGAUCAAGGCUUGUCCCUUGAUAUCUUUUUGCGGGACAUAUGUCGAAUUCCAUAAGGAGUAAUGCCCACUUAGCUAGCCAUCCUGAAAGGACUGGCCUUGUCAUAAGGUAUUUGAUCGAGUCAGCUCGAGAUAUCAGAUGCACUAGGUGAGACAAAAGGUAGUGUCACAACUUUUGGGCUGUGAAUACUAGUGCCAAACACAUUUUUUUGAUGGGGGAGUAAUUAUACUCGGUCAGCAUCAUGGUGCGGCUUAAGUAAUAUAAUGCCACUUCCUUCCCUUGAAGAGAUAUGAACACCAACCGAACUUGGAGAUAUUUCAACUCUUGCAGGUUUCGUGGUGGAGGAAUAGCAUGUUGGUCGGACCUGGUUCUCGGCGGGUCAGGAGGAGAACCCUCUCUCGGACAACCGUGGGGUCGAUCGUGCGAGGAGAUGAUGGAGUGCACCGAUGAGGGGGUGCGCGCAGGUGCGCGGGGCUCCUGUGGGUGGAUAGGCACCAACAUUGAGAGAGAUUUUUGACAGCGGGAGCCCUUUGGGAUGCUAACCUUGUCGCUUGGGAUUCGUGGGACACGUUCAGGUGGUCAGCCCUCUUAGAACAGUUACGAAGCCCUAUGGCUGUGUGCUAGCGCAGUUUGGACAUAAACUCUCUUCAGGCUCCCGACGUCUCUACUCUCUAUCUGUUGCUUCGGACCGGUAUGGGAUCUAGUUGUCCCUCCUUGCAGCUAUUUCCCUGAGGGAGAGGGCUGGCUGACCGGUGGAGGGGUGUCAGAGAACCCAAGGGUGAGGGCCCGUGCGUUCGCUCACGUCGAUUCGUCUCUCGGCGGGUCAGGAGGAGAACCCUUCUCUCGGCGACGUGGGUUGUUGCACGACACAGGUGAUGUAUCGCGCAGAAGGGAAGAGAGAGGGAUAGAGAAGGGUUGGGAUGUGACCCAGUUUAGGAGAGAGAAAGAAGAAGUUCAUGAGCUCGAAGGCAUUUGCAAACCCACAUGCUCAAGGGAUUUUUCUCUCUCCUCUCGGUGGAACUAAGGACUCAAAAAGAAAAUGAUAAACGUAAUGCCCCUAUUUUAUAAAGGGUAAAUACCCUGCCCAAAUAUUUUUUCAGUCCCCUUUACAAGUGACGUAAGCUUGCUUAUAUAGAGGAUUCACUAAACAGGGGUGAACGCUAAAAAACAAAGCAUAAUUACAAUUUUAAGAAAUUGGGAAUAAAUCCCGAAAUUAGGGGCAAUGGCCAAAAUGUCCUUCCUUGAGAUAUUUUUCGCUAAUGAUGAAGCCGUCCCUACAUGCAGGUUGUUCUUCCAUGGUCAGAUCUUGGAAGCCUUUUCUGCAACUUGCGGCGAUGGUUCAAAUGAUUCGUGAGCAUAUCUUCAAUUUCCUUGCGACUCUAAGCAUUUUGAUGCCCUUUAGUCAUGCUAUGAUGGCCUUUUCCCAUGGGGUGAAAGUCUGACCAGAUUUGUGAACUUUGUUCGUCAGUACACUUCGACUCGCGAUGUUCUGGUCCCUGGCUCCGCUUGCAAACGAGAGAGGAGAUAGUCGCAGUCAUUUUGUACUAAGCUUGGGCUGAUUCUGUUCUAGUUUGUGCUUUUGCCUAAUUUGGGAGGUCACCAGAAAGAUGGAUUCCAGCAACCAGGUAGAUUUACUUUUUCUGUGACCUGAGGACUGGCAUCCAUCUGACCUUGAAUUAAUUGUAAAAGUUAUAUUAGUUUGCAGCUCUUUUCGAGGUGGUUGCAUUGAACUCGUCCCCUCGAUGAUCGGAUGCUCAAAUAUUGAGUUGUUCUUCACUAGAUUCGAGGCUUCUUCUUCUUGAACCCUGGUUUUUCUGGUUUUACGGGCACCUUCCUUUCAAGAGAAGUUGGACUCUAGGUCACGCCACAGUGGAUCUCUUAGCUCAAAAAGACGAGGCAGGGCAUGAUCUAGGACAUAUUUGAAUAUGGGAUUCUCCUGGUUUCAGUGGAAGGCGCCUUUUGUCCUUGAAGCUGCUCCCAAAACACAAUGUCCUAGUCUCCAUAUUUAGGGACUGGUUCAGUGAAGCCGCACUGCGCUAGCGUGAAACCCACCCGCUACGACGCCGCAUGGGCGUAGACUCGUUUCAGGUAGUCCGAUUGAGCUCAAAUGUGGUCCUCGAGAGUUUUUCGACAUUAUGAAUGCGAUGUCAGUGGUUUGGCAUAGUUUUGAAGUCACUAGCAGAGGGCUACAGUUGUAAGGUCCUUCCUUGGUGUGAUGGCACCGUACCCAGGUCAUAAGGCUCGAGGUUCUAUUUUACGGCACAACUUCAACCUGUCGGUGUCUUGUGUACCUGCAAGGCUAGGCUGUUACCAUCUCUCUCCUUCUUCACUUGGGAGAUGUAAGUACGUCAAAAAUGACAUACAACAACUUGCCCCGAUGGAUGUUGCACUUCGAGAGAAGCAAGAAGUGCAACAUUAGGAAUGAAAACUUUAUCGUCGAAGUACAUCUGGUGAACCCUCACUAAGAUGUGUUUAUUUCGUCUCAACAAAAUGUAUUUUUUCUUGAUCACCAGCAUGGGUGCAGUUCUUGAGGGGUAGACCUUGCUGAGCUAUUUCCUUAAACAGGGGGUGACCAAAGUGGCUUAUAACGGACCAACGCCUUGUUGAGGGGCUUUCUCCAGGUUCUGCCAGAGUCGAUUUUCUGGGAAAACAAGCCGAUAGACUGCCUUGUGUGGGCUACGACUCUGUAUCAAUGAGAACUCUUGAUGGUCCAGCUGGUGAGGGCAUUUUUGUGGGCUUUAUCCCAACCUAGCCAGUAAGAAAAAGAGCCAGCGGGUGCCUUUUUUGUAGGCUUUAUCCCAACCUGGCUAAAAUGAUUUGGUGCUCCAGUUGGCGGGUGCCUUUUUGUGUGAUUUAUCCCUGACCAACGGAAGCUCCUAGUGGCGAGUUUGUUUUGACAAGCAGGGUACGUCUUUGGUUCCCAUCGUAUAUGGUCUAGUCAGGGGCUUUUUUUGUGGCCUGUACCGGAGAGUCUAGACUUGUAGGGAGGGUUGUUGAGGUGGUCUCUUUGUUGAAGAGACUUCACUUACAAAUCGAUGAUUGAUGUUGGUGGCGGGCACAGGAGCUAGACUUUUUUUGACGGCACAGGGGCAAGAAUAUUUUUUUGAGGCGGCACAAGGGCCAUAAAUUUUGAUGGCUUAGGGGCCGAAAAUGGUUUUUGGAGACGGUACAUGGGUCGAAAAUUUUGAUGGCACAUGGGCCGAAUUUUUUUUGAAUGGCACAGGGGCCAGAAUUGUUUUUGGAUGGUGCAGGGGCCAGAAAGUUUUUUUUGAUGGUCUUGUUGACGGAUUGGUUUUGACAAGAAAGGUACCUCUUUGGUUCCCAUCCUAUAUGGUCUAGUCGGGGGAUUUUUGUGUGGCUUGUACUGCAUAGUCUAGACUUGAUAGGGAGGGUCCCUGAGGCGGUCUCUUUGUUGAGGAGACUUCACCCUGCAUGUUGGUGAUCGAUGUUGGUGGAGGGCUUCUUGGUCGAAAUUUUUUUUAUGGCACAGGGGCCGAGAGUUGUUUUGGAGGUGGCACAUGGGCCGAAAAUUUUGAUGGAGCAGGGGCCGGAAAUUUUGAUUGCACAGAGGUCGAAAUUUUUUAUUUUGGAGGUGGGAGGUGGCACAGGGGCCGAAAAUUCUGAUUUUGGUGGCAGUACUGGGGCUGAAAAUUUUGAUGGCACAUGGGCUGAAUUUUUUAUUUUGGAGGCAGAACAAGGGCAUAAAAUUUUGAUGGCAAAGGGGCCAGAAUUUUUUUUGAAUGGUGCAGGGGCUGGAAUUCUUUUGGAUGUCAAAGCGCCCUUGCGGGUUUUCUCUUGAACUACAUGGGCGUGGCCCCACGAGAGCGGUUUUCACCAAGUCCUUUUGUUGAGGCAUUUUUACUCGUGAGUUCGAGGUCACGUCCACCCUUUUGAUUUGCAUUUUUACUCAUGGCGCCCUUGCGGGUUUUCCUGAUGCCCGGUUUUCUUUAUUUCAGGACUCUUUUACUCAUGGCUUCGUGGCCAUGCCAGCCUAUCAUUUUUACUCACGGUGCCCUUGCAGGUUUUCAUUGUGCACAUUUUUUUAUUUUUGGGAGAUUUUACCCAUAGCCUUGGUGGCUAUGUCUGCAUGAAGCUCUUUUUCUUUUACUGGCGAUGGUUGCCAUCGUGCCCGACUUCUCUUUUCUUUUUUGAGGGGCUCACUAGAAUAGUGAACCUUGCGGAUGUGGUAUGGAGGGGCAGCAGCUAGGUUGCCGGUUGAUGUGACUGAGGCAAGGUGCAUCCGCGCGAGGUGAGUUUAUUGAUGCCCGCGGGGGCUUGUUACCCAAGUGAGAUGUGCCCACAGGGGCUUGUGAUCCAAGUGGAAUGUGCCCACACGGGGUAGAGUGUUAGUGCCUGCAAAGGGCUUGUUAGCCAAGCUGAAUGUGCUCGCGCGGUGUAGAGUGUUGGUGCCCGCAGGAGGUAACAUGUUGGUGCCUGCGGGGGCUUGUCACCCAGAUAGGAUAUGCCCACUCGGGGUAGAGUGUUGGUGCCUACAGGGGGUGAGGUGUUGAUGCCUGGGGGGGGGCUUGUGACUCAAGCAGGAUGUGCCUACGGGGGAUAGAGUGUUGGUGCCCACGUGGGCUGAGGUGUUUGUGCCUGCGAGGGACAGUGACCCAGGCGGUAUGUGCCCACGUGGGGUAGAGUGUCUUUGCAAAGACGACGCACAGUUGACGAAGCAUCUAGAGUCUAGCGCGCGGUCAAAGAGAGAGUGUCACUUGGACAAUGGGGCGGUGGAAGAGAUCCUGCUUGCGAUCCGUCGAUGACGAUUUAUUGGCAACAGGGUGGCAAAAGACAUCCAGCGUGCUAUCCUUCUAUGAUGAUUUAUUGGCAACAGGCUGGCGGAAGAUUUGACUGUGAUGCUUCGAUAAUGUCGCUUGGGAGGCGAGACAUGAGACGGUUUAAAUGGUCGUAGAAUGAGGCACCGUUGCAAUGACACGUGUCCCUGUAGUUGGACUACAUGCUGCUCGAAAAGCGGCGAGCUUUGAUGAUGGGCCUAUGGCUGCUAUAAGAAGAGGCUAGGCCAGACAAUCUUAGGGCAACUCUUCGCCUUGUCUUUGUAAAGUCCCAUGCUUAACAACUUCUGAUGGUGGAGGGCACGUGGAGACUUUCCUUUUUCCUGUGCUUUGCCGAGUGGUCAGGGCCUAUGUUGGGGCCAACUGUCAGGUCUUGGCUUUUGGGGUGCGUUCGAGCGUUAGGCGUCUGGGUGAAGACAUUCGACCCAACAGAAGGCGGUAGUGGAUUCGGGUUGGAUGGAGAGUGUGUGGCUUCAGGCCCCCUCCGUUUGUACAAAAUCCAUGACGUAAGGUCCAAGGCUAUGUGCAAGUGCUUGGAUGAACCUUUGCUAUGGGUGGCAGGAACAUUUUGCUCAAGCUUCCAGCAUAUGCUUGCUCUUCUAACUGACUCCUGGUUCUUCACCUUGACUCCAUGGUAAGAAGUGGAGAGCAGUUUCUAUCUGGGCAUUUCAAGCUCUAUUUGGAGUGAAGAAUGUUGCCCUUUUGAAGAGAGAAGACACAACUGCCUUGAGGAGAUAGAGGCUCUUCUUGUGGAGCGGCAGCCGAGGAUGAAGACAUAUUUUAGGGCCGACUGGUUUUGUAGGGAAUUACAUAUUUGAUGUAAGCCUAAUCUUAUAUCCCUUUUGGGUUCGUGAAAUAAAAUCUUCUCCUUGGUUUGUCUUUUUGCUCUCGCUUUGUGGUUCGUUGCCUUUUUCUUCUGCCUCGACCCUCCUGCUCCUUGAUCUUUUUUUUUUUUAAUGUAAUUGGGAGUCUUAUAGAGCGGGUCCUUCUACAGAUCAGUUUAUCGUCAUGCGGCCAAGACAUGGGUUAUAGUUUUAGGUCGUAUAACUUGGACAGUCACGCGAAGCAGUUUGACAUCUUGCAGCCAGGACGUGCCUAUAGUUUUAGGUCGUAUAACUUGAACCAUUGCGCAAAGAAGUUUAAUGUCGUGCGCCCAGGACAUGCACAAUAGUUUUAGGUCAUAUAACUUGGACUGUUGUGAGAAGCAGCUUAAUGUUGUACGGCCAAGACCUGUGCUGUAGUUUUAGGUCUUAUAACUUGGACCGCUGCUUAGGGAUGAUACUUCUUUAAGUACCUCCCAUUGAUUGGAGGCAUGGCUUCCUCUCCUUCAGCAUUAACUAGUACAUAGGGCCCAUUGGGGAAGACUUUCUUUACCACAAACGGGCCUUCCCAUUUUGGUUCAAACUUUUCUUUUGUCUGGCCAUGGGUGAUGAUAGGUCUUCUUACUACUAAGACCAGUUCACCUUUCAUGAAUGCUCUUAUCUUGGUGGAUCUGUCAAAGGCUCUUUGCAUGCGACUCUUGUGGAUCUCAAGGCCCUGUUGCAUUGCAAUCUCUUUUAAUCGACUACGUCUAGCUCUUGGCAGCGAAGCAUAGCCCUUUCUUCGUCUUUCAUUCCGUAGUGGAGGGCUACCUUAAGGGAAGGCAAUUCAAUUUCCAGUGUUAAUACAGCCUCGCCCCCGUACACUAGCUAGUAUGGGGUCGAUUGCAUUGUACCUCGGGUUGUGAUGCGAUAAGCCCAGAGAAGUUUUGAAAGAUUCUCGUGCCAAUUUCUUUUAGUGCUGGAGACAGCUUUCCUCAAGGCAUCAUAAAGAGUCUUGUUGAACGCCUCAGCGUGGCCGUUAGCUCUUGGGUGAUACAUGAUUAAGUAUUUCCACGUGAACUCGAAUUUCUCCACUAGCUUGUCGAUUUGGCUACUUCGAAACUGGGGCCUGUUAUUAAAGAUGAUUCGAUCAGGAAUGCCAAACCGGUAUAUGAUAUGGUGACACACAAAGUUUGCUAUUGUAGUGUUGGGGACCUUCCUAAGAGGGAUCGCCUUGGCCCAUCUGGAAAAAUAAUCUGUUGCAGUGAGUAUGAAUGCGUGCCCCGAGGAAGAAGGCGAGACUUACAAUAUCCAUGCCCCAUUGCACGAAGGGCCAAGAUGCCACCUUUGGGUGGAGGAGUUCUCGUGGCUGGUGAAUGAAGUUUGCAUCGAUUUGAUAAACUGGGCAGCUUCUUGCGAAUGCGAUUGAAUUGACGUUCAUAGUGGGUUAAUAGCCUAUCCUGAUGAUCCUAUUGUAAAGUUUAGGACCUAAUUAGUGCAUCCCGCACACCCUGGAAUGAACCUCUUUAAGGACUCGAUGGGCCUCUCAUUGAUCGAUACACCUGAGCAACGUAUUAUUAUAGGAUGUCCGGAACAAAGCAUCGUCCUAACACAUGUAUUGUGUGGCGGAUCUUCAGACUUUGUUCCAUUCCACAUGAUCCUCAGGCAGUCGACCAUGCUGUAGGUACGCUUUGAUAGGAGCGCGCCAAUCAGUCACUUGCUCUACUUCUGCGCACACAUGUUCCGGAGUCUUUGAACCCUCCUUCUCCUCGUCUUCUUCGAUCGUGUGGGCUUCUGCCAACGUCGAAGAGCCUUGUGUGCCAGCUUGAUCUACCGCGAUUGGGAUAAGGGGGUGUAGCUCGGGCGACCGCCUUUCUUGGCAUCCCUCCUCAGGUCCUUCAACGAAUUCGGCACAUCUCCAUUCCACGACCCAUAUUGGCAUGAGAUCUUUAGAUGCUAUUUGAAUCGUCACCCCCAAUUUGGCGAGCGUGUCUGCUUGUGCGUUGAGCCUUCGGGGUAUAUGCUCCAAGCCUACUCCCCCGAGUUUGGUGAUUAGCGACCUGAAGAUAUUGAAAUAGGGCUUGAGGCUCUCUUUCCUUAGAUCGUACACCCCUUUAAGUUGUCUAAUCACCAGCUCUAAGUCACCGUAGAUGCUCAAGCACCUCACAUCCAAGUGGGAGGCGAUCUCUUGGCCUGUGACGAGCGCUUGGUAUUUCGCCUCAUUAUGCAACCCUACUACAAGAAGGGAAAAGGAUAAGGGGACGAGACCAUCUUGGGGGGUAUAGAACACCACUCUUGCGCCUCCUUUUUUGGACUGGAAUGCCUUAUCAAAGUGCAUUUUCCAUCCGCAUAAGUCUUUGAUGUGGAAGAUUUCCUCGUCUGACAGUUCGUUAGUCGAAUGGGUGUCUGUUGGUAGCAGAUGGGAAGCCAGAAAAUCUGCCAGGGUUUGACCUUUGAUGACCUUUUGCGGCCCAUACGUGAUGUCAAACUCCAUGAGGAGUAGUAACCAUUUCGCAAGCUGACCCAUCAAGUAAGGGUGUGACAGGAGGAACUUUAUAAGGUCUUCCUGAGAGAUGAGUCGAACCAGCUGAGCGAGCAGAUAGUGACGUAGCUUUUGUACUAUGAAUAUGAGAGUCAGGCACAUUUUUUCUAUCGACGAGUAGUUUGCUUCUGCUCCCUGCAUCCUUCGGCUUAGGUAAUAUAGGGUCGUCUCUUUCCCCUCAUUAUUCUUUUGUGUCAGUAGAGCCCCAAGUGAUUCAUCAAGCAUAGAGGCGUCUCCCCAGAAUUGGCGUGGAGAGAACUGGAGGUUUAAGCAGAUAAUUUUUUAUGUCAUAAAAAACCAUUUAACACGCCUCAUUUCACUCAAAGGGCACAUUUUUUUCAAAACAUGCGAGAAGGGUCAUCACCAUCUCGACAGGUUAGAAAUGAACCUCCUUAUGUAGGCCAAUUUAAAAGGUGAACCACUGCACGUCCCCUCUUCGUAAGAGCCAAAGAAGGGAGAUCGCACAUCCUUUAAAACCAGCGAAGCAAGUGUGUGGCCCAAUCACAAGAAGGCACGAAAAGCACGCGAAGCGAAGCGUCGCGUGAAAAUAGGGCACAAAAGCAUAACCUCCAUGCAAACUGAAGCGUCGCACAAGCGAAAUGUCGCGUGGUGCAUGGCGCCACACACAGGAGCAUAAGGCAAAGAAGGAGAAUUCAAUGCGAAGGAAGAUUUUAUUUCAUGAACAAGAAGGAUUACAAGAUUGGGAUUACAAUAAAUCUGUAACUUCAAAAAAAAAACGUACAUCCGUUCUGGGAUAAAUCCUUUCCCUUUAAAGGCUCCGCUACCUUCUCAGGGUGGUGGUGCCUUCAAAGAGGUUGCGUCCAUCUCUUCAAGAAAGGCUUGAAGAAAACAAAAGAGCACCUCCUCUUUCUCCUCCCCCUUCGACAAGGGCGAGUGGCCAGAAGUUGGCUACCCGAGCAACAAGCAAAGACCCGAGCAACAACGGCCCUGCUCCUCGUACCAACAGCUUGCCCAAGUGCCAAACUAACAAGUUGACCCGAUCCCCCUAUUGGUGGGCCGGCGACAAAAAGAUAAUGGGCCAGCCACUCCCCUUGCAAUUUUCCAUCAUAUCUGAAGAGGUAUGAUGGGAUUCAAGGUGGUUGACUAUACACAUCUUAUACAGGGUCGUGCGCCUCACGCCACGGAUUCCAUACAUAUGGAGGGGCCCUAAAGCCAAACACCUACCAUCGAACACGGAUCCACUGCAGCCUUCCACUAGGUCAAAUGCCUUCAUCCAGAUGCCUAACGCUCGGAUGUGCCCAAAAAUCCGGGACUUGACAGCUGGUCCCAACAUAGGCGCCGGCCUCCUGAUGAAGCACAAAAGAAAUAAAAGUCUCCGCACACCCUCCACCAACAGAAGUUGCAAAGUAAGGAACUUUACAAAGAUGAGGAGAAGAGCUGCCCUCGCACUCUUUAGCCUACGCUCUUUUUAUAGCAGGCAUAGGCCCAUCAUCAAGACUCGUCGCUUCCCGAACAACAUGUCAAAGCUUACCGCUUCCCGAGCGGCAUGUCAUCCAACCAUGUGGACACAUGUCAUCACUACGACACCUCCUUCUACGGCUAUUUAAACCGACUGACACCUCACCCCCCGCUGGCAUCAACACCUCAACCCCCUGCGGGCAUCAACACCUCACCCCCCGCGGGCAUAAACAUCUCAACCCCCCAUUGGGCAUCAACACCUUAACCCCCCCCGGGCAUUAACACUUCACCCCCCCCUCCCCAGGCAUCAACACCUCACCCCCCGAGGGCAUCACACCUCACCCCCCGCGGGUGUCAACACCUCAACCCCCCAUGGGCACCAACAUUAUACCUUGUGCGGACACAUCUCGCUAGGGUCACAAACACUUACCCUUCGAGGCAACACCGCAGCUCACCUCAGUCACAUCAACUGGCAGCUCAACCGCACCUCCAAGCCAUAUCUGCAAGGUUCACUAUUCCAGUGAGCCCCUCAAAAACAAAAAAAAGAGAAGAUGAGUGUGAUGGCAACCAAAACGAGUAAAAGAAAAAGAUCUUCAGGCGGACAUAACCACCAAGUCUAUGGGUAAACUCGUCCAAAAAUAAAAAAAAUGGGCAUGGCAAAAAUCUGCAAGGGCACCGUGAGUUAAAUUGACAGGCGGGCAUGGCCACGAAGCCAUGAGUAAAAGAGUCUUGAAACGAAGAGGACCGGGCAUGGCGAAAACCUGCAAGGGCACCAUGAGUAAAACAAGAAAUCAAAAGGGUGGACAUGACCUCGAAGUCACGGGUGAAAAUUUCUCAAUAAAAGAACCUGGUGAAAACCACUAGUAUGGUGCCACUCCCACCUGGUUCGAGUGAAAACCCACAAAGGGCGCUUGAACCUGCCAGCCCCCAAAAAAACAUUUCGGCCCCUGUACCAUAAAAAAUUCCAGCUCCUGUGCCAUCAAAAAUUUUGGCCCCGGCCCUUGUGCCAUAAAAAAUUCUGACCCCUGUGUUUCGACCCCUAUGCCAUCAAAAAUUUUGGCCCAUGUGCCACCAAAAUAAAUUCUGGCCCCUGUGCCUUCAAAAAUUCCAGCCCCUGUGCCAUUCAAAAUUUCAGCCCCUGUGUCAUCAAAAAUUCCAGCCCUUGUGCCAUCAAAAACUCUGGCCCCUGUGCCAUCAAAAAUUCCGGCCCUUGUCCUAUCAAAAAUUCUGACCCCUAUGCCAUAAAACAUUUUGGCCCUAUGCCAUAAAAAAUUCCGGCCCCAGUGCCUUAAAAAUUCCAGCCCCUUUGCCGUAAAAAAUUUCGGCCCCUAUGCUAUCAAAAAUUCGGCCCCUGUGCCAUCAAAAAUUCCGGCCCCUGUGCCAUCAAAAAGAAAUUCAGCCAUUGUGCCAUCAAAAAUUUCAACCCUUGUGCCACAAAAAAAGGCACCUGCCAACUGGAGCACCAAAUUGUAUUAGCCAAGUAGGGAUAAAGGCCACAAAAAAGGCACCCACUAGCUCUCUUUUCAUUUACCGGCUAGGUUGGGAUAAAGCCCAAAAAAAGGUACUCACCAGCUGGACCACCAGGACCUUCCAUCAACCAGGGAUAAAGCCCACAAAAAAAGGCACCCGUCAAUUGGAACACCAAAUCAUUUUAGCCAGGUAGGGAUAAAGGCCACAAAAUAGGCACUCGCUGGCUCUCUUUUUUUUCUUACCAACUUGGUUGGGAUAAAGCCCACAAAAAAACCACUCACUAGCUGGACCACCAGGAGCUUUCGUCGGUUAGGGAUAAAGCCCACAAAAAAGGUACCUGCCAACUGGAGCACCAAAUCCUUUUAGCCAAGUAGGGAUAAAGCCCACAAAAAAAGGCACCUGCUGGCUCUUUUUUUUACCAGCUAAGUUAGGAUAAAGCCCACAAAAAAGUCACUGACCAGCUGGAUCACUAGGAAUUCUCGUUGAUAUGGAGUUGUAAGCCCACUCAAGGCAGUCUAUCAGUGCGUUCUCCCAGAAAACAGAUUCUGGCAAGACUCGGAGAAAGCCCCUCAAUAAGGCACCGGUUCGCUAGAAACCACUCACCCCCAGGUCAAGGGAAAAGCUCAGCAAUGUCUAGCCCUCAACGACUGCACCGAUGCCAGUGACCAAGAAAAAAAAAUAUUUCUUAAGAGGAAAUAAACAUGUUUUAGUGAGGAUUCACCAGAUGAACUUCGACGAUAAAGUUUUUCAUUCAGAAUGUUGCGCUUCUUGCUUCUCUCGAAGCACAACAUCUGUCGGAGUAAGUUGUUGUACGUCAUUUUUGACGUACUUACAUCUCCUAAGCGAACAAGGAGAGAACCAGUAACAGCGUUGCCCUGCGGGUACACAAGACGCUGACAAGCCGAAGUUGUGUCGUAAAAUAAAACCUCGAACCUUAUGACCUGGGUACGGUGUCAUCGCACCAAGGACCUUAUCACUGUAGCCCCAUGCUAGCUACUUCAGAAUUAUGUCAGACCACCACCAUCAUAUUCAAAAUGUCAAAAAAACCCCGGGGACUAAAUUUGGGCUCAAUCGGACCAUUUGAAAGGAGUUUACUGCCAUGUGGCCUCACAGCAAGUGGGUUUCACAGUUGCAUAGUGCAGCUUCACCAAACCAAUCCCCAAACAUGGAGACUGCAACAUCGUGUUUCAGAAGCAACUUCAAGAAUGGCACCUUCCACUGAAACCAGGAAGGACCCAGAUUCAGAUAUGUUCUAGAUCACGACAGCCUCGUCAUCUUGACCUAAGGCAUCCACUGUGGCACGACCUAGAGUAAAACUUCUCCUGAAAAGAAGGUGCCCACAAAACUAGAGAAACCAGAGUUUAAGAAGAAGAAGAAGAAGCUUCGAAUCCAGUGAAGCACCGCUCAACAUCCAAGCAUGGGAUCACCACAAGGACGAGUUCAAUGCAACCACCUCACGAAGAGCUGCAAUCUGGUAUAACUCUUGCAUUUACUCCAACGUCCGAUGAAUACAAGUACCCAGGUCACAGAAGAAGUCAAUCUGCCAGGUUGCCGGAAUCCCUCUUUGCGGUGACCUCCCAAAUUAGGCAAAAACACAAACCAAGACCAAAUCAGCCCAAACUUGGUGCAAAUUGACUGCAAAUCUCUCCUCACUUGUUGCAAGUAGAGUCAGAAUCCAGGACAUCAAAGGUCGAAGUUCAUUGGCGAACAAAGUUCACAAAUAUGGUCGGACUUCCACCCCAUGGGAAAAGGCCACCACAACACGACUAAAAGGCAUCAAAAUGCUUUGGGUCUCAAGGACAUCAAAGAUAUGCUGAUGAAUCAUCUGAACUAUCGCUGCAAGUUGUAGAAAAGCUUCCAAGAUCUGGCCAUGGCGGAACAACCUGCAUGCAAGGAUGGCUUCGUCAUUAGCAGAAAAGAUCUCAAGGACAUUUUAGUCAUUGUGCCUAAUUUCAGGAUUUAUUCUCAGGUUUUUUAAAUUGUAAUUAAGCUUUUCUUUUUAGCAUUCACCCCUGCUUAGUGAAUCCUCUAUAUUAACAAGCUUAAGUUACUUGUAAACGAGGCUUGGGAAAAUCCUUUGGGCAGGGUGUUUACCCAUUAUAAAACAGGGGCAUUAUACUUGUCAUUAGCUUUUGAAUCCUUAGUUCAGUUGAGAGGAGAGAGAAUCUUUGAGAGAGAAAAAUACCUUUGAGUGCACGGACCCCUUCUUCUCUCUCGUAAACCAGGUCACACCCUAACCCUUCUCUCUCUCUCUCUCUCUCUCUCUCUCUCUCUCUCUCUCUCUCUCUCUCUCUACGUCUCGUCGUACGUCGUACGUACGUCGUACGUACGACGUACGUACGUCGUACUACGUACGUCGUCGUCGUCUCGUCUNNNNNNNNNNNNNNNNNNNNNNNNNNNNNNNNNNNNNNNNNNNNNNNNNNNNNNNNNNNNNNNNNNNNNNNNNNNNNNNNNNNNNNNNNNNNNNNNNNNNNNNNCGUACGUUACGUUACGUACGUACGUACGUACGUACGUACGUACGUACGUACGUACGUACGUACUACGUACGUACGUACGUACGUACUACGUCUACUCUACUCUCUCUACUCUACUCUCUCUCUCUCUCUCUCUCUCUCUCUCUCUCUCUCUCUCUCUCUCUCUCUCUCUCUCUCUCUCUCUCUCUCUCUCUCUCUCCCCCUUUAUGCAACACAUCAUCCGCCCCGUGCAACUACCCAUGUCAUCAACAGUUGGGGGGACGUGAGUGAACCCACGGGCAUCAACACAUGGGUUCUCUCACGCCCCUCUAUCAGCCAGCUAGCACCUCCCUUGAGGUCAUAAUCAUAAGAUGGGACAGCCGAAUCCCAUACCGGUCCCAAGUAACAGAGAGAGAGAGAGAGAAAGAGAAAGUAGAGAGGUUGCAAGCCUGAAGAGAGUCUUUAUCCAAAUCACGUUGGUGCACAGCCAGAGGGCUUCGUAAUUGUUCUAAGAAGGCCCACCGCCCCGAUUUGUCCCCCGAACCCCAAACAACGAGGUUAGCGGCCCAAAGCAAUCCCGUCGAAAAAAAAAUCUCUCUCAUUGUUGGUGCCUAUCCGCCCACAGGAGCCUCACGCACCCACACGUACACUCACCGGUGCGCGCCCUAAUCUCCCCGUGCGAGCAACCCCGUGGUUGUCCGAGAGAGGGUUCUCAUCCCAACCCACCGAGAACCAGGUCCGACCAAGGGCAAGUUGUUGUACAUCAUUUUUGAUGUACUGACAUUCUUCACAUGAAUAAGGAGAGAUCCAGUGGUAACUCGAUCCUGCCCAUACUCAAGACACUGCCAAACCAAGGUUGUACUGCAAAAUAAGCCCCAAACUAGACAACCGGGAAGAGUAUUAUCAUGCCAAGAAAGGACGUUACAACUGUAGCCCUAUGCUACUAGCUUCAUAACAGUACCAGACCACCGUCGUUGCACUCACAACAUCGAAAGACCAAAUUGGGCUCAAUCGGUCCUCCCAAGAGGGUUCUAAGUCCAAAUUAGCUCGAAAUAGGGCGGGCCUCACCAAACCAGUCCCCAACCAUGGAGGCUACAAUUAUCAUAAAAAUAAAAAAAAUACCUAGUCUAAAUGACCAUGGCUAUAAAAGGUCUUCGCCCAUCACAUUAGACAUGUGUCAAAGCACACAUGCGACUCCAUAAAUUCACUUCCGUGCUUCAUGUAUCCUAAGGCACAAACACUCGGACAAAUGUUAUCACAAGUGAUGAUCAGACAUUCAAGGUAGUCCGUCGUGAGUUUCAAGUGACGCCUUAGUUGUUUCAAUUUCUGAUUGUGCUUGUUCAUCGUAGCCUACAAUCUCAUCACCUCUUCUCGUUCUUCAUUAACUGACAAUAUGAGCUAGUCUACAUGACCCUCUAAAUCUAGAAUUAUUGCCUCAAGGUUGUAUGCUGGAACAACUCCCUAUUCUUCAGUGGGAGCUGGUGGAUUGAAAAUUGUUUCCUCCAUUGAAACCUCGUCACCAGAUUCAUAGUUUUCACCAGAGAUAGGUGCCUUUUUAAUAACUUCCCCCAUAAUCCUCAGAAGGUUGAGGAGGGACAAGGUCGAAUCCCCCUCAUUUCUUCUCAUGCCUAGGAUUGUGAGAUUGCUCAAAAUCAGGAGAAGCGGCCAUGGUAGACAAAGAAGAAAAAAAGAAGAAAGAGAAAAACAAGUCCAUGACAAAAUAGGGAUUUUUAUAUAAAGCUCUAAAGACUUAAAAAAGCUUGGUGCAGUUGUCCGGCUUAAACGAUUAUUUAUAAAGUUCUGACUAACUAAAAAACACUCAUGAUCAUUAUCGUGCAUAGCCCAUUAUGGAAGACAGUUGAAAAAAAACCGAUUCCAUUUUACGAAAAAUAUGGGACCAUCUGUAUAUGAAACUUCGAAAGUUCGAUUCCAUAGUAAAAAAAAAAUGUCUCCCAUCUAAUCUAGGAGACCCAAAAAAACGCUCGGCCAUAGCAAUGUAGGCUUGAUUAGCGUUACUUCUUUUAACAGGUCCACGUGCUAUGGAGAUUUCUUCUUCAAGGAGGACAGGUGGUUCCUUCAGAAAGUUUUUGCAUGGUUCAACCUCCUAUUAGCCUAGCGAAGCCUUUGGGCCAAUUCCAUUUUCCCGCCACCAUGGACAGCGUUGGAGAACAUGCAAUUCAACAGGGCUAAUCACCACAACACUCACCUCUUCAGCCUUUCUCCCUCUAGUUUAGAGAGCCAAAGAAGGGGUGCUCAUUGAUGCUGAAGGGGGAGUAGAGUUACUUUAGAAGUGAUGAAAGGUUUUGGAUAAAUCUGAAAAUUUCUGGCUUGUCACCUUACCAGAAGGUCAAGAGACAUAUCACUUAUUUCAAGAGACGGCUCUCUCUAGAAAAUGACAUCUCAAUAAGAGAUAAUUGAUGCCUCAAAAAAUUAUCCAACAAAGAGAAUGAUUGCAUGAAGUAGUUCCAUAGCAGUGGUACAUCCUACUGCAACGGUACACCACAUGUGUAUACUUCCAAAGUCCUUUAAUUGAAGUUGUAGAUUACAUGUGUGCCCUUCCAAAUAAAUAAUUUUCUAAAAGAGACAUCUAUAUUCGAUCAUCAUGCAAGCCUUGAUUGAUCCACCAAAGGAAGAAGACAAGUUUUCCCACCUUAGGAAACGCAAUGUUCUGGCUGCCAAGAGGGAAAAUGGACAAAAAUAUAAACAUCCCUUUCCUUCCCAAGUCAUCUUCCAAAGAAGCUAUCCCACAACAUGGAGCAAAUUCUCCGAACUAGUCAAGUUGAAAGCUCACAAUUGAAAAGCCACCCCUCAGAGUAUGACUGGGGAAAUAUAUCGAGGAGAAUCAUAUGAAAGUCCCCUUCCCAGGGCCUCAAAAUUGGAGUGGAAGCUCUAUUUUUUUUGGAGGAAGCACAUUGGAAGUGGAAUAAAAAACAAAAAAAAAAACCUCAAAGCCUCCCAGUAAGACUUCUUUGGAAAGAAGGUGAAAAGGCCCAGUUGUGCCAAAGGGCUUGCCUACAAGUAGUAUCUUCUUUAACAGCAUUCCAAGGGAAAUACAGAGACCCAUCACCUCCAAUACUUACACAUAAAAAGGAGACUCACUAACUCAGUUUUUUACUUCAAGAGCUCCCAUGACAGUAAAAACCUAAAUUUCUUACACCAUAGUAUAGAGUGACAAACAAAGUCUCUUUCUUUUAUUCCAUUCUACCACUGUCUCAAUGAAGAAUCUUGGAAACCCAUUCUAAACUAUUUUCGGCAUUCAUUCAAUCCAACGAACCCCACUGCAGAAGAAAUUUUUGCAUUGUUCAUUGCAUUGUUCACAAAAUUGCCCGAUCUAAUUGCUAACCGUCUGGUUAGAUCGGAACCGGCUAGUGGCCAGUUCCGGUUUUGGGCGGUUAAGGUGAUCAACCGGUAUUUAAAAAUAUAUAUAUAUAAAUUAUAAAAAAUAAGGAAUUUGAUUUGUAAUACUUUUUAAAAUUUUUUUUACAUUAUGGUAAAGAUUAAAAAUUGUUUUGGUCAUUAAUACUCACUUUUAUAUUUUUUCAUCUCUUUUAAAAAAUUUUAAAAAUAGCCUUUGAAAAAUAUAAAAUGAGUUAAAAUCCAUUUUUUCCAUUAAUUUUCAACUUCAUUUGAAUGUGCUUUGUUUUAAUCAUUUUUUAUAUGUUUUAUAUAUUUUAGUUUUUUUUUUUUUGUUCAGCAGUUUUUUUACUACCUGGGACUUGUCCAGUUAGAGCGGUUGAAUAGGUCGAUUUACUGGUUAGGCCAAUUAAACCGCUUUCAGGCCCAUAUACAAUUUACCGUUCCGAUUCAAUUUUACAAACAUUGGUUCAUUGUCUAGCUUCUAUUGCACAACCACCCUUGCCUAUAUAAGCCACGAAUGUGCGUCGUAAAUCAAGGUAAUUUAACAGUGACAACCAAUUAUACUUACCCAUAGAGAUAAAUGUCAAACUCUCGAAUACCUUUUAGGAUCCUAUUUUCAAAAGACGUACUUAUCUAUACUUUUCAUUUAUUAUACAAAAAAAAUCACUACAACCGUAGAUAAAACUACCUAACGAGUGAUCAAGAAACGUUCAUCUCACAAUGAAAUGUACACGACGUGACAGCUUAACAAAGGUAUUGCGUAAAAAAGCGAAAUGAUGCCUCAAGAUUAUUAAUGUCUCAUUACUUGGCAAAAACGAAUGAUUACUUAAAAAUUUUCAAUGGAGGAAGGAAAUUAAAAUUUAUGCAAAUGCAACACACGAAUUUCUCAAAAACUGUGUGAGACAUUGAUUCGACCUCAUGGUUCCCAAAAUUUAUUAUGCAUCCAAUCCUUCAAACUCUAAAUGCCACAAGCUACUUUUGGAUUCAUGCACGUCAUUAAGGGGCAUAGCUAUUUAGGUUUAAUUUUGGCUUACCCUGACUUUGCAUUGAGAUAUCUUUGAGAAAGCCUAAUAUUUUCUUGCACUUUUAUGUGCAUAAUGGACACUACAUCUGAACUAGAGUGUUAAUACUUUGGUUAGUUCAUAAAAGGCCAAAGACCACCUGUAAUAUAUGAUCCCCUUAAUCCAAAUAUAGUUCCAAAAUAUGCAUUAACCUUGAUUUACCGUAUUAUAAGACUCUCUGUUGAAUUUUGUGUGAUUUACCCUAUUAUAAGACUCUCUAUUCAAUUUUGUGUCAAUUAUGACUCUCCGGUGAAUCAACCUUCAUUCUACCAAUGCUUUGGUGGAUACGAAAACAACAUUAAUCAUUUUACUUCACACUUUUCAAUGCAUAUUUUAUCUACAGUUAAAUAUUAUUUAUUGACAAGAUAUCUCUAGAUUAUUACCUACAUCUUUUAAAAUCUAGAGGUCCGAAUUUUGUGAACACAUCCCGGAAGAUCACAUAUGCUAAACUUAAGGAAAGGAUAAAGCCUAUUCACCCGAGACACUCCUGACAGAAAAUACUACAGUCGUUUAGAAUAACGUACCAAUAUAAAGGUGAUGCAACACACCUUCAAGAAGCUAUGAAGACUUCAAAUAGUUGUGAAGAACCAUGUGUCAUCAUCAAAAUAAGACGCGAGGACCACUACGCAAAUUAUAUCGCAACUGCAGUGCACAAUCGAGAGCUACUAAUUGAAGUGUUCAACCCUUAUAAAUAGCCCGGACCAAAAUUAAAGAAGUCAACCGAGAGAUAGCACGUAUAUUCAAACACUUGUAAGUAUUGUCAUUGUAUAAACAAAUUCGUGCAAGCAAGUAGUACAGUAAGUAAUGCUUGCUAACUCUUUUAUAUUUCUUUGUCCACUGAAUCCAUUUAUGAUUGAUUAAACAACAGUUUUUUACACCUCCAUUGUAUGAGACAGUGAAUGUAAUUAAGAAGACAUCCAUGGAUACCUUGAAACUGUACGAUCCCCAUAAAUAAAAUAAAGCUUUGUUCACAGAUAUACCAUGACAUAAUGGAUGUUAAAGCACUAUGAGUUUGUCAUGUGUUCUCCGCACAUUUCAGCUUAAAAUCAACCCAACAACAAUAAACAGAAGUUAAUCAAAUAAACAUAUUUUGCAUCCCAUUCCAAUAUAUGAAACAAACAUAUUUAAGCCCAUGCCAAUAUUUUGGCGUCAAACAAACAAAAAUUAAUUCCCAAAACCCUAAAGCACAAGUGGCUCAUUCCGGAAUCAAUAGAAAAAAGAAACUGAAAAAUAAAGAAAAUAGAACUAAGAGAAACCAAUGCACAGUGGAAUCCCAAUUUGUAGCAAGAGAAAUCAAGGGAGAAAAACAGAGAAGAAGUUCGUACUGAGAGGAAUCCCAACAUCAUGAGGACAAGUAUUAAGGGGGAGGUCAUCAGUGAUACAAAAAUGCACCCUUUAUGCCACACAAGACUUGAACAUUAUCUCCCUCCAAUAGCCAUAAAUGUUUUACCCUAGAUACAGAUCAUCCUCAUUCCACUAAUCACACAUUAGGAAAAUAGGAAAGAGGAUGAAACCAUUUUUUAAAUUACCAUUUUUCAAUAUAAACAUGUAUGAUUUAUGAUGAAGAGAAUAAAGCCACAAACACAGUAGGUUUUUGUUGUACUAUGAGAGAAAGAGUACCUCAGCAAGGCUAUAGCAGUGGUUGCAGAGACUGAGAGAGAAAGAGAGAGAGCAUCACCAUGGGCUAGGGUUUCUGAGCUUCUCAAGCGUAGGCAGUGUGAUGGAGAAAGGGAAUGGUUCAUUUCUAUUCGGAUACGGCAACCCGAUGAGGUGAACUGUAUUAUUUAUUUCGGCUCUGAUGGGGUUGGUGCUUUCCACAAACAACGUGGAGAGCAUGUUCCUAUGCACGCAACAUUUUUUAGGGAAAAACAUGGAGACGCCUCUCUAUGGGAGAAGCCAGUCCCUCCUAGCAUUACGAGUCAAACAAUGGAGACGAGUAGAACUCUUGGAGAGACCUCUUCCUAGAGAGAACACUCUAGAUAUCAAACAUGCCUUUAAUUGAGAUAGUAGAUUUCUACUUAUCGACGUUGUGGACAUAGCCACUUCAGGGUGUAGC